UUUUUUUUUUUUUUUUUUUUUGUGAUUUGAGACACUUUGAUGAUUUUACCGUCCAAAGCGUGUAGAAUAAAAAUUAAUUCCCCGUCUUACCAUGAUGCAACCAUUGAGUAGGUAAAAUUAGAGCUGGCAAUUAUAUCCAAAACCCAACAAUCCAUCCAACUCCCUCACUAAUUUGAGAGGUUGGAUUGGAUAAGUUGGGUUUUGGGUUAAUUUUGGGUUGGGUAAUAAAGACUCAUAUAUAUUUUGGGUGGUUUGGGUAUUUGUGUUAGGCACCCAUUACCUAAUUUAAGUUAAAAAAAUAAACUAACAAAUUAAAAUCAAGAAGCAAAAAAAAAAUGACCAGCUUUGUUGGAUCAAGCAAAACAUCCGCUAGCCAAGUUGUCCAAAAUCUGCCAAAUUAGCUAUUCCGGACACUCACAGAACUCCAAAAGCUGUUACAGUCCAAAUUCAUUACAUGGUCGCUGGGGCUUCAUUUGGCUAAUUUGUCCGGAAUAGCUAAUAGUUCAUGAAUUUGGCAGAUUUCUUAGAAAUAUGUCCGAAAUAGCUAAUGCUAAAUCAAGUAACAAGACUUAGAAAAUUGUAUAUUGGUAUGCCAUUUUUCAUGCUAUAUUCAACUUGAACCAAAAUUGUUGCUUCGGUCUCUUAGUUUGGACCAAAGCUAUACCCAAUUUAAAAAUCCUUACUUGUAUAAAAAAUAGUGAGUUCAUCCAAGUAAUUUACAUAGCUAGUAUGUGUGUGUAUUUGUGAAAGUAUAUUAGUGUGUAUUGUAAUGUGUUUGCAUGUGUAAAAAUAACGUAUUUCAAAAGAGUUUAAAAAGUGAGUGUGUGUGUGUGUCUAUGAGUGUUUUAGUGUGUAAAAAUAUGUCUAUCUAUGUGAAAAUGUGUUUAUGUGUGUGAAUUUUUUUUUUGUAUGUAAAAAUAUAUUUGAGAGAGUUAUGUAUCAAAUUCUAUUAAUUAAUAUAUUGGGUCAUAGGUUUCCCAAUUGGGCUAUCAUAUGCUUCCAAGAAUCAUGAGCUCAAACAUAAAUUGUUAAUCAAUUCUAUCAAAAUGAUGGAGUUUGAACCUCAAAUAGAAAAAAAAAAAAAAAAAAAAGAUAACAAAGUUCCUUGACGGCAAAUUGACACGUGUUUGAAAAGAAAUAGCACAAAACCAUCAUUAAAUUCAGCGAAACGAAAUUACACAAAAUAGGCCAACAGCAAAAUAUCUGAAUAAUCUCAUUGAUUGUUUCCACCAUAUCUUGACAAGAAAAGAGCCAUCGAUCCUUUCCAACAUUUACCUCCAUCUUCCACAAAAAUAUUAAAGAAAGCCAGACCGCACAGAUGAUCAAUUACAAUCUAAAGAGGAAAAACCACCGUAGCAUGUACUCCCUAAUGAUAUCAUUAAGAAAAAAAAAAUAGAGCAAUAAUUAGUUGUUUGCUCAUCAAUUUCAAUGUGCUUGUGCAUGCAUUACAGGCAACUGAAGUACAAAAAAGCUACCAAAUGGUAAAUAUAAAUUAAAUUUGUUUAAAAAUGAAAAGCAUGAUUAUUUCUACAAGCCAAUUAACGGUAAUGACAAAAAAGGAAAUUACCAGAUAUUGCACCAGCUGAUGCCCUUCAAUCUAUGAUGAUCUCCAGAUUCACAUUUCCAUAAUUUUUCUGUGCUUCUUCAAUUUCCCGUACUAAAGAUUUGACACGAUCUCCGCAAUGGUCGAUCUCAAUCGUUUCAAGAGUUGAUAUACGCCCUAAACAAGAAGGCAUCAUUUUCAAAAUACGAGUACUGUCGAGAUUUAAUUGCUGAAGACACAGGAAGUAAUCAUCACUGUCAGGGUCCGUCUCUGUCCACUCCACAACCUUAAAAUAUGUCAAAGUCAAGACCCUGAGUUUAGGGAAUCCUCCUUCCAUCAGCUCCCAUCUUUGGCCCUCCAUUGACUGCAGUCUUAAUUCGAGGACUUCAAGGUUGGGUAGUUCUUCAAUCAAUGACAUUUUACUACAGGGAAGACCCAGAUUUUCAAGACUCAACUUCUUCAAAUUCAUGGGAAAGGGAACCUCAACAUGUUCCCAUGAACCUGAGGAGUAAUUGCCCCACCAGGUGAGUGAUUCUAGGCAUUCUAGAUGACUCAUGUUCAACACUCCAUUUCCAGUGUGAUAAUCGGAAAUUUUAAGUUGGCGAAUGUUAGGAAUCCUUCUCAAUAAGUUCUCUCCCUCUUUAAAAAGACACAAGCAAGAGAGUGUGUCUAAAUUGGGUAAAGUGGAGAGGUUUUCAACACCGUUGUCGUUGGAAGGCAGAUGAAUAGCAACGCGCCCUCUUACAUGUAUAUGCCUCAACUUCUUCAUGUUCCAGAUGCUAUCUGGCAAUGAAACGACCAAGUUGGAAUGUAGCCAAAAGGUUUCCAAAUGUGAGAGCUUGGCUAUAGAUGGUGGAAUGAAUUGCAUGUCCUCUGCUUCAAGGGCUAAGUACCUCAAACAAAGAAGUGACUCGACUUCAGCUGGAAGCUCCUUCAGCCUUAGGUUAAUGCCCUCUAAAUUCAGAACGUUAAGAUGUUUGUAGAUGCAAAAAAGGAAGGAGAUAUUAAACAACUUAUCAUAUCUUGGAGUAGCAUCAAAGAGUAGCAGACUGGCUAAAUGCGGACAAAAUAGCCUUGACUUUAUAAAAUCUUCUACACUGGAGCAAAUGGACAACCGAGGUAGGUUGGGAGGCUCAUUAAAGGUAGAAAGCUCAUCAUAUCCUCCCAGGACCUGAAGGAAUUUCUUUUCUUUCGCCUUGCCCUUACAGAACUCAAAUAUCAAAUCGUGAAUGUAACAAGUUUUGACUCCACCAAUGGACCUGUUCUUACCUACCAUAACUAGGUUUCGGCCAAUUAGGUCCAUCAGAUAUUCUUCUGCAAUAUCCUCUGAUUUCUCUCCUUCAAUUAUUUCCACAAAUCCUUCUGCAAUCCAUAGACACGUCAACUUCUUGGCACCAAUUUUUUCAUCUUCUGGAAAUGCAGCAAAAUACAGCAAGCAUGCCUUCAAGUGAUAUGGUAAAUGCUCAUAACUGAGCUCCAAUGACUUCUUCCACUGGUCUGUACCAGACACCAUGGUUGAAGUUAAACUUUCAGCAAACUUUUCCCAAAGCAAAAUAUCAUGCUUUAUUGUUGCUAGAAUUCCAGCUACAACAACAACUGCAAAGGGUAAUCCCCAGCACUUUUUGACAAUCUCCAUUCCCAAUUCAUGCAACGCUUGAGGACAUUCCUCUUCUUCUCCAAACACCUUCUUCUGCAGCAAUUCGAAACUCUCUUCGACAGUAAGGCAGCGAAUCUUGUGAGGUUCUCUACCAUAUUGAACCUGUGAAGCUACAUUAGAAGAUCGACUCGUGAAGAUGAUUCUACUUUGGUUUUUGUCAUCUGGGAAUGAAAUUCUCAGCUCAUUCCAUACCUUAAUGUCCCAGACAUCAUCAAAAACAACAAGAUACCGAUUCUUCAAUAGCCUUUGAUAGAGCUUUUCAAGCAACGCAUGUUUAUCCAGAUUUUGAAACUCAUCCUUCCUAGAAUGUUUGCCAUCAGAGCACAAAAUUUGAAGUAACACAUUUUUCAUGUUAAAUUCUUGAGAAACAGUACACCAAAGACGAAUGUGGAAGUGACAGGUUACUGAACUAUCAUUGUAAACUUUUUUGGCUAAAGUUGUCUUACCAAGCCCAGCCAUUCCCACAAUGGGAACAAUUUCCACCUGUUUUGAUCCCCAUCUAAGUCGUCCAAUUACUUUUGCUGCCUCAUCAUCAAGACCAACCAUGAUUUCACGAGCUAUUGGCAUUUUACCUUUUGAUAGCAUGCGGCUGGAAGUCUGGCUAACUUCUGGUGCUCUUAAGCUAUGAGAGGAAUUAGGAAGACUCUGUAUAGUACUUGAGAUAAGUGGUUCAAUUACUUUUUCUGCCUCAUCAUCAAGACCAACCAUGACUUCAUGGUCUAUUGGCAUUUUACCUUUUGAUAGCAUGCGGCUGGAAGUCCGGCUAACUUCUGGUGCUCUUAAGCUAUGAGAGGAAUUAGGAAGACUCUCUAUAGUACUUGAGCCACUGAUCUGAUCCUUAAAAUUCUUGAUAUGGAUGUUGGUACUAGCCAGCAUAUCACAAAAAUCAAGAACCUGGGUGGAUCCUGAGAAGCUAACUUCUCCUUCUAUCACUCUGCUCAGAGUGGGCGUGAAUAUUAUAAUGCCUGCCUCACCAAGGAGAGCUCCAAUUUUUUCAUUUUGUUCAUCCAUCAUCUCAUGAUGCUCCCUUAAAAUGCUUCUCAAAAACCUCAGGCCUGCAUAGAGUAUUCGCAUUUGAUUUUUCAUAGAAUCUACAAAGCUAGAGCUGCAGCAUAACAACUCCCAGAGACGACUUAUCAGAGAAUCAUUGAAGUUGUUCAAUAUCCGCUCAUCCAUCACUGCUGUAUGUAAUGAUGCUGAGGAGUUUGAAGCUGCAAGUACUUCCUUAUAAAUCUCGUAGACAUGAAAAUCAACCGCUCUGAUGCUGAGGAGUUUGAAGCUGCAAGUACUUCUGUACUCAACAUUUUUCCAAAAGGACCACAUGUAAGAGAGGCGUGCUGCGGUCAAAGCCACCACUUCAAAGUGAGAUAAUAGCAAGGCAGGAAUAUCUGCGGUUCCUCGCAUUUUGGCAAAGGGAAUAAAGCUUUUCAAGAAUGUCAGCUUUGCUUCAAGAUCUUGGACUUGAGCAGUCAAAGGAGCACUCAAAGGAUCAUAUUUAUGAAUUCGCCAAUUCAUAUAGUCAUUGGUCAAAUCUGCUAGAUUUUGCAGGAUGAGGUCUAUGAAUUCCAACAGUUCAUCAUCUGUCAUACAAGAAUUUGAUUGAAAUGACCUGCUGCUUGCCAAAGCAAGGUAAAUUUGGAUGAUUUCUUGCUUGAGUGAUGUGAUCUUUUUCUCAAUUUCGCGGAACACUCCACGAGCAAAAAUAGAAUUGUUAAAGUCAAGCCACAGCAGCAAUUCUUGACUUCUUGCUGCAGCCGCAAUUCUUGAUUCUUGACUGUGGCAGAAUUUUGUAAUCCCACAUCGCCAGAAGCUGAGGGAAUAGCCUCCAUUGUUUCCUAUAAAUAGAGAAGGCCUUUGAGAAGUUUAAGUGCACCACUCAAGAGAGUUAUAUGGGCUAUUAGCUUCUUGAGUCAUCUAGCCCAUUUAGUCAAAUAUUUUAGGCUCUCUUGUAUUGUGUUUAGGAAUAUUUCCUAAAUCUUUUAUAAGUGCCUUUUGGCCUAGGAACCACUUUCCUACGGCUUUUGUAUUUCUUCUUCAUAGUUGAAAUAUUGCUCCUCCCUCGCCCGUGGACGUAGGUCAAUUUGACCGAACCACGUAAAUCUUCUGUAUCUUUUAUUUGCUUUGUUAUCCGUCUUUAUAUGGUCGGUUUUACCGCCUAAUUAUUAUAUGGCCGGUAUCUACCGCCUAUCUAUUAUAUGGUCGGUUAUACCGCCUACUUUGUGCUAACUUGAGUUUGUCUAUUUCCUGGCCCGGUCCUUAACAAACUGGUAUCAGAGCUGGUUAUAUUUUGCAAGACAGUUUUAUCUGGUGGGUCCCGUUCAUCUGGUGGGGUCCGUCCAUCCUGUGGGGCCCACUCAUUCUGUGGGGUCCGUUUAUCCGUGGGGCCCACUCACCUUGUGGGGUCCGAUCAUCCCCGUGGGGCCCGCUUAUCUCGUGGGGCCCGCUCACCCUGUGGCCCGCUCACGAGACUUGCAUAUUUGUUUGGCCAGUUUUUUGAGACAAACUUCAAGUUACAGAAUUUGUGGCAACAAUGACGAUAACAAAGACGGUUGUCGAGAAAUUCGACAGGAAUGUCAACUUCGGAAUGUGGCAGCUCAAGAUGGAAGCCAUUCUUGUUCAAGACGGAGUUGAUCUAGCGAUUCACGGAAUCGAGAACAAACCAGAAGAAGUCAAGGAUGCGGAUUUCGCCGAUAUGGAUAAGAAGGCCAGAUCCAGCAUAAUCUUAAAUCUCUCCGAUGAGGUAUUGCGUGAGGUAGCAACGGAGACUUCGGCCAAGGCUAUGUGGGAUAAAUUGAAAGCCUUGUAUAUGAAGAAGACAGUCGAGAAUCGACUAUAUCUGAAGCAGAGUUUGUACAUGCUUCGGAUGUCUGAAGGUACAUCUAUACUCUCCCAUCUUGAUAAAUUUGAUUCCAUUAUUAUGGAUUUGGGGAAUAUAGAUUCGAAAAUUGAUGAUGAAGAUCAAGCCCUAUUACUUUUGUGUUCCCUUCCCCAGUCUUUUAAGCAUUUCCGCGAUACUAUGAUUUAUGGAAAGGAAACAAUUUCGUAUCGGGAAAUUAAAUCUGCAUUAAAAUCUAAAGAGCAGAUAGAUAGGGACAUUACUGGGGAAACUAGUGGGAGUCAAGCCGAUGGCUUGUUUGUUCGGGGUAGAUCUGAAAAGAGAAACACAGAAAAUAGAAGUAGAUCCAAAUCCAGACAUAAAAAUGUGGUGUGCAAUUAUUGUAAAAAGAAGGGCCAUGUUAUCUCUGAUUGCUUUAAAUUGAAAAAUAAAGAAAAGCAAAAAGGGAAAUUUGUUGAGAAAAAUACUGAAUCCGCUGAGGCUAGUAUAGCAGCUGAUGAGAAUGAUGGAACUAUUUUCUGUGCAACGGAAAAUAAUUUUAGGUCUAACAAUGAGUGGAUUUUAGAUUCGGGUUGUUCAUAUCAUAUGUGUCCCAAUAGGGACUGGUUUUCAACAUAUGAAUCAGCUGAAGGUGGAGUUGUCUUAAUGGGCAACAACGCUGUUUGUAAAGUUGUUGGCAAAGGCACAAUCCGGAUUAAAAUGUACGAUGGUAUUGUGAGGACGCUCACAGAUGUUAGACAUGUUCCAGAUUUGAAGAAAAAUCUCAUCUCUUUGGGCACUCUUGAGUCUAUCGGGUGCAGGUAUUCAGGUGGAGACGGAGUUCUCAAAAUUACUCGAGGAGCUCUUGUUGUUAUGAAGGCACACAGAUCUGGUACUUUGUAUAUUUUGCAGGGAUCUACUGUUACAGGUGCUGCUGCUGUUUCAACAUCAUCUUUGUCAGAUACAGACAUCACCAAAUUAUGGCAUAUGCGUUUGGGGCACAUGAGCGAAAAAGGCUUAGGCAUACUAAGCAAAAGAGGGACUUCUUGUGGUCAAAGUACCGGGCCAUUGGAAUUCUGUGAACAUUGUAUUUUUGGGAAGCAGAAAAGAGUCAGCUUCAGUUCACCAGCAAUUCACAAGACAAAAGGUACUCUUGAUUACAUUCAUUCAGAUCUAUGGGGUCCUUCUCGUGCUCCUUCUAAAGGUGGUGCCAGGUACAUGUUGACUUUCAUUGAUGAUUAUUCAAGGAAAGUUUGGGUAUAUUUUCUUAAGCAUAAAAAUGAUGUUUUCCUAACUUUCAAGCAAUGGAAAGUUUUGAUUGAGAAGCAAACAGGAAAACACAUUAAGCGGUUGAGAACAGAUAAUGGCAUGGAAUUUUGUGGAGGUGAAUUUAAUGAAUUCUGCAAGAAUGAAGGAAUUGUUCGGCAUCACACCGUCAGGAUGACGCCUCAACAAAAUGGUGUGGCCGAACGUAUGAACAGAACGCUUUUGGAGAGAGCAAGAUGUAUGAUCUCCAAUGCAGGGUUGACAAACGACUUUUGGGCAGAGGCGAUCAAUAUGGCCUGUUAUAUUGUCAACCGUUCUCCUUCUGCAUCUCUUGAUUUCAAAACUCCUGAGGAAGUUUGGUCAGGUACUCCUGCUGAUUACUCCAAUUUAAAAGUUUUUGGGUGUCCAGCAUACAUGCACGUGAAUGAUGGAAAAUUGGAGCCUAGGGCUAAAAAGUGCAUUUUUCUUGGGUAUGCUUCUGGGGUGAAAGGAUACAGAUUAUGGUAUCCUGAUCCCAAAUCCCCAAAAUUUGUAAUCAGUAGAGAUGUUACUUUUGAUGAAUUAUCUAUGUUAUCUUCCAAGAAGGAGUCUUCUAGUCCUUGUACUACUGAUAGUACACAGAAGCAGGUGGAGCUUGAUAUUGGCAGUUCUGGUCCUUCUCAGACCAAAUCUUCUAUUCAAAUGCCAGUAGAUACACCUGAAUCUACUGUUGAAGAUAGUUCUGAAGAAGAAGAGUAUUCCAUAGCCAGAGAUAGAGCAAGGAGAGACAUUCGACCACCACAAAGAUAUGCAAAUUUAGUUGCAUAUGCUUUAUCUGUUGCAGAAGAAACUGAUGCAAUUGGUGAGCCUUCCACCUAUUCAGAAGCAGUUUCUUGUGAUGAUUCUGCAAAGUGGUUGAUUGCGAUGAAUGAAGAAAUUGAAUCUCUUCAUCGUAAUGAAACUUGGGUUCUUGUAAAGCCGCCGUCAGCUAAGAAAAUUGUUGGAUGCAAAUGGGUCUUCAAGAAGAAGGAAGGUAUUCCAGGGGUUGAAGAUGCAAGGUAUAAAGCACGAUUGGUUGCAAAGGGCUAUAGUCAGGUACAAGGUGUUGAUUUUAAUGAUGUGUUUUCACCUGUUGUUAAACAUAGCUCUAUUCGUGUUUUGCUUGCUUUAGUUGCCAUGUAUAAUUUGGAGUUAGAACAGCUCGACGUUAAGACAGCUUUCUUACAUGGCGAACUUGAAGAACAAAUUUAUAUGAGACAACCCCAGGGUUUUGAAAUUGAAGGUAAAGAAGACCAUGUUUGCUUAUUGAAGAAAUCCUUAUAUGGAUUGAAGCAGUCUCCAAGACAAUGGUAUAAGAGGUUUGAUUCCUUUAUGUUGGGUCAUGGUUAUUCAAGGAGCAUGUAUGAUAGUUGUGUUUACUUCCGGAAGUUAAAUGAUGGUUCUUUCAUUUACUUAUUGUUAUAUGUUGAUGACAUGCUCAUUGCUGCCAAGAAUUUGUCAGAAAUUCACACCUUGAAACUGCAGUUAAAUAGUGAAUUUGAAAUGAAAGAUUUGGGAGCAGCUAAGAAAAUUCUUGGCAUGGAUAUCAAUCGAGAUCGAGGAGUAGGAAAGUUAUUUUUGACCCAGAAAAAUUACCUUGAGAAAGUCUUGGAGCGUUUUGGCAUGAAAGAUGCUAAACCAGUAUCUACUCCUCUUGCUAGCCAUUUUCGGCUAUCUGCUGCUCAAUCACCAAAAUCAGAUGAAGAGGAAGAUUAUAUGGCACGGGUUCCUUAUUCCAGUGCAGUCGGCAGUAUUAUGUAUGCAAUGGUUUGUACUCGUCCAGAUAUUGCACAAGCAGUCAGUGUUGUUAGCAGAUAUAUGUCUUGCCCUGGUAAAACACAUUGGCAGGCUGUGAAGUGGAUUCUCAGAUACUUGCGAGGUACUUCAAAUGUAUGUUUGGAGUUUGGAAGAAAUAAUAACACUUUGGUUGGUUUUGUAGACUCAGACUACGCUGGGGAUCUUGACAGGAGAAGAUCACUUUCAGGCUAUGUAUUUUGCAUUGGCAGUUGUGCUGUUAGUUGGAAAGCUACUCUACAACCUGUCGUAGCUUUGUCUACUAUUGAAGCAGAAUAUAUGGCUGUGACCGAGGCAAUCAAAGAAGCCUUGUGGUUGAAGAGUUUAUUUAGCGAGUUAAGUCUAUAUCAAGGUGUUACUGAUAUUCACUGUGAUAGUCAAAGUGCCAUACACUUGACUAAAGAUCAGAUGUAUCACGAGAGAACGAAGCAUAUUGAUGUGAAGUAUCACUUCAUUCGGGAUAUCAUUGAUGAGGGAAAAGUCCUUAUUCAGAAAAUCAAUACUAAGGACAAUCCAGCCGAUAUGUUUACGAAGCCUCUUCCAAAUUACAAGUUCAAGCAGUGCUUGGACUUGGUUGGUGUUCGUUAUUUGUGAUUUAGACCCAUUGGGUCUUAUGUGGAGAAGGUGGAGCGAUUUUACUAUUGACGAUGGUGGGACUCAAAAUUAUGCCAAGGUGGAGAUUUGUUGAGCCGCAAUUCUUCAGCCGCAAUCCUUGACUGUGGCAGAAUUUCCUCAUCCCACAUCGCCUGAAGCAGAAGGAAAGCCUCCCAAAUACAACUAUAAAUAGGGGGCUCAUAUGAAGGUUUCAAUCGCACCACUCAAGAGAGUUAUAUGGGCUAUUAGCUUCUUGAGUCAUCUAGCCCAUUCAGUCAAAUAUUUUAGGCUCUCUUGUUUUGAGUUUAGGAAUAUUUUCUAAACUAUUUUGUAAGUGCCUAUUGGCCUAGGAACCACUUUCCUAUGGCUUUUGUAUUUCUUCUUCAUAAUAGAAAUAUUGUUCCUCCCUCGCCCGUGGACGUAGGUCAAUUUGACCGAACCACGUAAAUCUUCUGUGUCUUUUAUUUGCUUUGUUAUCCGUCUUUAUAUGGUCGGUUUUACCGCCUAAUUAUUAUAUGGCCGGUAUCUACCGCCUAUCUAUUAUAUGGUCGGUUAUACCGCCUACUUUGUGCUAACUUGAGUUUGUCUAUUUCCUGGCCCGGUCCUUAACAAGAAUUGUGAAUAACCCAUUCAUAUUUUUCCAUUUCUAAUCUAAGGCAAAGAGACAGAAUGUCCUCCUCGGAUUUGUGAAAGGUAUCUUCGAUACAAGAUAAGAAAGAUGGAAGACUCACCUUCUUCACAACAUUGUCAGAUUGCAAGUACAAAUGAACAAGGCUCCACUUUCUAGCACACAUAAGAAACGUUUUGAGAAAUUUCAUGUGUCUGAUUGCAUCACGAACAUCCAAAAGAAGAUUACCACCAACAUGCGAAAGAGAAAAAUUGUCUCGGAAUCUGUUCAGAAGCAACUCUAGACCAAGUAAGACACGAUCGAUGCUGCAAGUGGUGGCCAUCUCCAUCUCUUUUCGAGGGAUUUUCGUCAGUUUCACUCUCAAAUUUUAAGAGAGAAACAAAUCUCACUAACUGCAGAGCUAGCAAAGCAUUUCUUUCCUGAAAAUGGCUUAUUUGUUUCUGGUGAGAAGGUGAAGAAGAGUAUUGAGACAAUCAACCAUUCAACCAGGUGGAAUUGGCAUCAAGGUGGACCCCAGGCAAUGAUAAUCAAUUAUUCAACUAGGUGGAAUUGGAGGUAGGCACCCAAAAUCCAAAUUCAUCUUGAACUAAUCACAAAUGGAGGAAAUUGAUAAACAAGAUUAGUUGACUCUGUCAUCAACAUUUUAUUAGGGAAAUUUGAUAUUAGGGAUCACAUAAAAGUCUAUGUUUUAAGACAAUAACAGCAGUGGUUAGGGUGAUUUAAGACACUUUGAUGAUAUUAUUGCCUCAAUAAAGUAGUGGGUCCGAUUUCAUAGAAUUAUUCGGAAUGAUUGUAUUCCAUUCUUGCGCGUCCCUGUUUUAAUAUGUUUUUUUUUUGCUUCAAGCAUCCACAGUUUAAUAUGUUAAACUUUAUAAUUAGGAAGAACAGAAAACAAAGAAACAUCAAAAUAUAAAUGAUCCAAGAGACGUCACAAUAUAAAUGAUCAAAAUAUAAUGAACCUUCAAGCUAGCUCUCUAAUUUUCUUCAAUUGUUUUCUUUCUUUAGCAAACCACUAAAUUUGAUCACUUUCUCCUCUAAUUAUCUCGUAUUAAUAAUCAUGACCAUUGAUCUUGGAGAUUAAUAACCAUGACCAACAAAGUAAAAGGUAUGAGAAAAAAUAAUUGAGGGCUUCUUCAACCCUUGAUAUUGUGGAAGUAGAGAAUUUGGGAUUUCUGCAAUUACUAGUGUCAAUUAUAUCAUAAAAUAUAUGCAUUACAAUAAUAAAUGUAAACUCUAAGAUAAUAAAUAUAAACAGUAAAACGAUAACCUGCAAAAUUAAUGUUACCAAUAUACAAUGGUCAAAGAAAAUGAUUGGAUUAAAGAAGUGAAAAUUGCUACUAAUUUGUAGUAGUACUUCUUUUCAAGAGUCAGGACUUAAAUGCACGCUCAUUAUUGUACAAAAUUAUCUACUUAUUUCAUAAACACAUUUUUCAAUCAUUUUUUUUUAUUUCAUAUAUAUCACAUCAAAAAAAUAAUAUAAUACUUUUUAAAAAAAUUAUUCCAAAUAAUCUCAUAUUCAAAAGCAAGUUAUAUGCCCAUUUCAGUGUUACUUGGGCCAUUGGAAAUUAAUUCUAGUCUUCUCAUUAGUCAUUAGUCUUUUUUCCACAUUCUGUAGGGGUGGGCACGGGUCGGGUACCCGCCCCGAACGCUAAUUGGCUGACCCGACCAUAACAUAUCGGGUCACUAUUUUUUUGACCCUAAUCCGCUCCGAACUUCCUCGGAUACCCGAAAAAUAGGGGCGGGUCAUAGGGUACCCGCCCCUAUUUAAAGAAUGCAAUUUUUCUCUAAAACUCAUAAGACAUAAGAUGAACCUGCUGGACGAUAGCAUCAUUCAACAAAAAAAAAGGCAACAACAUCAUUCAAAUUCAAACUAGACAAAGAUGGAUCCAUUGAUGAUGAAUGAUCAACAUUUGGGCUUGCAGCUGUAGUAGCUGUAUUAUCCCCUGUACUUGACAUCUGAAAAAUUCAAAAAACAAAUCAAAUGAAAAUCCCACUUCUCUACCAUAUGCGCAGCUAAUACAUAGCUUAGAAACUCCUAUAAAACCAUGUGCAGAUUCAUUUUAGAAAGAAAAGGGCAGUUGGAAUAAUCUUAAGAACAAUAACAAAAAAUUGCUCACAAUCCUCAGUUGCUUGGCCUGCUAAUUUAAAUAUUGAGUGCAAAGUGUAGCUAAACCCAAAGGGGGAAAAAUGUCCAAUGUAUGAAAAGAAAAAGCAAACCAAUAAUCUCAAAAAAAAAAAAAAAGAGUUUUACACUAUUACAACUUCAGCAGGUAUAGAGGUAUUAUCUUAGAAUUUGCACAUUGAAUUGAAUUAUGUUACACAAAAAAGCUAAAGUAAUUAUGCAGCUACAUUGCACUGGAGGAAAAUAACGAACGAUGUAGAGUUUCCAGUGUUUGUUCAUGUCUUAGUAUCUAUAUGCAAGAAUCAAUAAUAUUCUUGAGAAUUAGAAUCAGUAAAUUUUAUGGUACAUCAUAUCUCUUUAAACCUUAGUUGGAUAACUGUGUAAUUUACAACUUAAAGUUUUUGGUUUAAUCUGAAUUUUUGGUUUGAACUCGUCUUGUAGACAUUAGAGCUGAUUACGGUACAUGGACACACUUGUGAAGCAUUUAAUUGAAUAUUUUUUUUUAAUUAGAAACUCAGGACAAAGUGCAGUAUGUUCUUAUUUUUCAGAACCUUAGGCACAAUUUCUCCCACCGUUCUUGAAUUUCAGAACAUAACCUAAGCCUUACGCAUAUGCGUGCAACAGUCCACCAAAAGUACAGAAAAAGCCAUGUAAAGUAAAACUCUCUGCAAAUGAACAACUAGCCUAUGAGAGUUGGUCUAAGACCUCAAAUGUCAAAGCCAUGAGAGUAUCUCCAUGGAAAAUUAUGGCCAGAAUUUGUUUCCGUACCUGUACCAUUUAUGCCGAUUGCCGACCCCCUUUUUGGUUUUUUUUUUUUCUUUUUUCUGUAUGGGUCCAGCAAUUCCUAAUCUUAAUUGUACAACCCAGUUUCGAUUUGGACGAAAGAUCAGAAUCCAUGUAGCCAAUUCGACAAAUGCAUAGACGUACACAAUACACAUAGAUGCAGAAUAGUUUUGCAGAAAGAAUUGAACUUAAAAGAAAAUAGUUAUUGAAAAACCUUGAUAGCUAAACCACCCGGCUCCGGCGUCGGCGGCGUCAGGCGACCUUUUGGCAGCGUCCCUUUACUCGAAGUCGAAGGUAGAAAAGGACGACAACGGAGAAACAGGGCUGAAGAGAAAGGGAUUCGAUUCAGUUAGGCAGUUUGAGGAGUUUUAACGGUAGUUUUCGGCCCUAGGUUUGAGAGACAAGAGCAUCGGCCAUUGAAGAGUGAAGAGUGAAGAGUGUCGACGGCUGAAGCAGAGGAUGAAAUCUGAAGGUUAGGAACCUAGGGUUAAUAACUUAAAAAAUUAUAAAAUUGUCCCUAUAUUUUUUAAUAUUUAUAUAUUAUACCCCCGGGUCGGGUACCCGCGGGUUUUGGCUUUUACGAUCCGUACCCGUAUCCGAAUGUUCCGGAUACCCGACCCUAUCUGAUCCGCUAAGAGAAAUCGGAUCGGAUAUCCUAUUUUUCGGUGCGGAUCGGGUCGGAUCUCUCGGGUUUUCGGGUCAGCGGGUAUUUUUGCCCAAUUGGAAAAUGAGAGAGAUGGGAAACUGGCUAGGGAACCAUCACUUUCCUUGCUUUUUAAUACAGGGCUUAAGGGUAUAAUACCACAUACCUAUUUUUAAAUGUUUGAUAUCAAUUCUUAGUAUUUAAGUGGAAAACUUCCACGAGUCAACUAAGAAUUAGUGGUAAUAGUCUGAAGAGUUAGAACCGAAAUGCAGGCUAAUACAAGCAUGUACUAGUUACUGGGCUAUUAGAACUCUUAAACAUUUUUAUAGUCUUUCUUCCCCAUUCAGGGGAUCCAUGUGGAGAAUUCGAUAGAUUGGUCAAGACCGGAUAGUGUUCUGGUCAAGCAUGGCUAGUGGACGAUCCCUUUUCUUGUUCUUUAAUUCAAGUUUCGGCCUUCAAUUAAGGGGUAAUAUAGAAAGAAUGGGAUUUAUAAUUAUUUUUUCUUUUUUUUUCUCUUCUUAUUCCUCAUUUUUUGUUCAUAGUUUACAAGUAAAACUGCAUAACUAUAAACUAUAAAUAUUGAUUCUAGUCGCUAUCAUUACCAAAUGUUGAAUUAGUGACCUUUUUUUGGACAACUUUGAAUGUGAUCUAAUUUUUUGUUGAUAUUUUUUUUCUUCGCACCAAAAACAACAGUGAUUUAAAAAGAAACUAUCCAAAACUACUACUAAAUUAUUGAUAUCUCUAACAUUUCAAAAAAUCUACAAACUCUAAAACAAUUAUGAUAAUACUUUCUUCUCCAACCUUCAGGGAAUAUGUACCCCUAGUAAAGCACUAUGUACAGUAGCCUAUCAUAGUGAUGAAACUAUUGUAAUAAUUGUUUAUUAAAUAAUAAAUAUAGGUAUUGAAAAUUUGAUGCUUUUUCUUUAUAGUUAUGCUAUAUAUCUUACAAUUGUUUUGGAAAGCAAUAUAAACUAUAUAAACCAAGGACAUUUUAGGAUGUUCAUUUAAAUUUUUGACCAGGUCUAAGGUUUGAUUACCAAAUCUGUAAAAUCAAGGGAGGUAAGUACAAUUUUUAAAACCUCAAGGGAGCUUAGUGAGAUUAUCUGAAACCUUAGAGGAGGUUUAUGAAAUUAUCCCUGCUUAUAAUCAACUUUGAAGUGCUACAAUCAACAUACUGGGCAACGAGAAUAAACUCCAAACUAUGAAAGUACAUGAUUUGGAAUGAUUAUAACAAAACCAGUAAUAUACUUCACCUAGGUUGCUGAAAAUUAUUGGGCAACACAGGAUCCGUUUAGAGGUGGGCCGAAGUGAGAAAAAGUCCACAACGCACCACAACUUUAAACUGGGGAAGUUUUGGGCUUUUUAUUUGAUGUUCGAAAGGUUUAGUAUUUGGUGUUCGAAAGCCGUACAAUUUAGUUCAUUAAACCCUAGUUUUAACCUUUUUGGGAUCAAAUAUUGUUUGGGGUAUCCACAAUUACCCUUUAUUACACCGAUGCAUUGUAAACUCUCCCUUAGUAAGAUUAUAAUGCCUAUUACACGCAUAACAAUCACUACAUGCAUAAUUGAAGCAAAAAAAGCUGAAAGAGUGGGUCUCAUUUGUCCAAUUAUUCAAAGCUUUGCAAAGGUUUCAUUUUAUCCAAUUAUUCAAAACUUUGCAGUGGUCCCUUGAAUCCAAUUUUCAACAUGUUUGCAAUGGUAAAAUAAUGGUAGCAUUGUUUCAAUUUCACCAGUUUGCAACAGUAAUUCUUUUUUCACUUUCAAUUGUCAAAAUUUUGUCUAUAAAUAUUGUUAACGUUUUCUCAAUUUCUUACUCUCCCACUCCAUCAUUUCUCCUACUGCAUCAUUUGUUUUCUUUAACCUCUUAUCUAAUUUUUUAAAGCAUUGGGUAUUUGUUUAAUAAUUACCUAAUUAUUUUUAGCAAAUAACAAUGCAUUUUUUGAAAUCCAUAAAAAUAUAUACUGUUAGCUUUCAAAACUUAAUAAUAUUAUUUUUUAGAAAAUAAAAAAUUUAUAGAAUACAAAAUUUUCAACAAAAGUUAAUAAUAUUUUUCCAAAAUAAAUGUAAUUAUUUUUCAGAAAAUAGAUCUAUUUAUUUACGAGAUAUGUGUUGAGAACUAUUAAAAUAAAUACAUGAUUUGAUUAUGGGUCCACGCUAUUAUACUAUGUAGAGUGUAAUCUACAGUGAGUGAUAAUAUAAUGAAAGAGGGGAUAAUAAAGUAAUGAUAUAGCAUAUGAAUUGUACUCUUCCAUUGUAAAUGCCCUUAAGACACCUUCAAGACUCUUUCUCGUUUUCAUAUAUUUUUUUCAGAGUUAAGCAUCGAGAUUUAUCUUACCCUACUGCUAUACUGUGGGAAGGAGAGUGCCCAAGUGAGUUGUGUGAAGGAGUUGGUGGUGGAUACUGGAUAGUAUAGUACCGUGCCCUUUAGAUUUAUAAGAGAAUGGAAGCCAAGUUUACUUGUAUACGCACCGAGCGAGACAUGGAGCCUCAACUUGAUGCACGAGGGAGACUUUGAGAAGUCCUCCUUUCUUGUUUGUUACUUUGUAUGCUAGUUUCCUUACAUUUAUAUGUUUUCUUAUUGUUGAGAAAGGGGUUUGCUCCGGGUUCUUAAACGCUGAUAUUUCAGCUGCAUGUUGGCAGAACAUUAUGCUAGUUUUAUUCAACUAAAUUUCGUUCUUAAGUGAGCCGAGAAAAUUUGUUUGUUUUCUUCUUUUUGGUUGGUUCAUGUCAGAUUUAGCCAACAUUUUAAAGUAAUUUUGUUGAUUUGGACUCAUUCAUACUCAUUGUGUAGUUGAGGAGGGCCAUAUUGGGAAAUAUGAAGUUUGAAUUCUUUAAGUGACUCAAUUGUUAAAUACUAAAUUUGAUAUAUUUGAGUAUAUAUAUCAUCACAUUGAAUGAUAAAGUAAAUAACUUAUCACUUAUUUUUUAGAACAAAUUUUACUAAAAAUUCAGUACCAGUUAAUUAAUUCACAUGUUCUAUUUUUUUUUGUUAUCAAACAUAUCUAACACGUUAAGGUCUAAACCCAUUAGCUUUAGGUGUUGAAUUGAGCUAUCAAAUAAGGUCUAUAAGACUUUCAGCUCAUAAAAAUCGAAAGCAAUAUUUGCAUGUUGGCUUGGUUACCGAGGUUUUCUGGUAUCUAAUUACCAAGUUAAGCAGAAAGAACAAAAGGGGAAAAAAAAAAAGAAAUAGAAGAAAAAGCAUCAGUCAUAGGUUUGCAUUUGUGUUUUCUUUGAAAUUUAGAAAGAAAACAAAUUAAUUUAGAGCAACAAAACACUAAAAUCUCUCCUCUGGUUCUCCGUUGGGCAAUACUCUUAGCAUUCAUGUUUAGUUUUUUUUUUUGUAUCGCAACAAUAACAUUUGUAGCAUUCAUGUUUAGUUGAUUAGUUUUGGAUUUUUUUGCUUCAGCAAGAACAUGUUCAAGUUAGCUCUCCAAAUUUCUUCGGUUGUUUUCUUUCUUAUUCACAUUCAAGUCCCAAACCACCAAAAUUUGACCAACGAGGUUAAUAAUCAUGACUAUUAUUUUCCAAUAUUAAUGACCAUGAGCGUUAAAGUAAACGCACGCCAAAAAGAAAAGAGAAUCAGGGCUUCAACCGUUGAAGUAGUCGAAUUAGAUGGAUAAUUAUCUUCUGCAAUGUAAGCAGCACCACACACAAAUAUAGAUACUAAGAUAAUAACAUGAUAAGACACAACAAAUUUUGUUAUCGGUCGAAAGUUGUCCUACAAUAAUCUUGUUCAUCCUCAAAUUAAACUUAUUCCAACCAUCAACUUUUUUUUUUUUUAAUCAUUCAUGUGCCAAUUGCAUAGAACCCCAACCUGCAGUCCAGCAAAAAUGAAACAAAUUUAACCAGUGCCAGCCAGCUACUCUUGCAAAUAAGGAGAAUGAUAUUCAAUUUUUGCAGAAAAGCCUGGAUUAGAGAAGCAGAGGAGUCUCCUAAUUAAUAAUAGUACUUUUUCAAGUGUCAUGACUGACAAAGUCUAUGCCCUUAUAGUCUUACUUGGGCUAUUGAAAAUUAUUUCAAGUCUAAUAAUUAAUCUUUCUUCCACGUUCAAGGAGGGUCCAUUUGUUCGGGUCAAGCACGGCCACAGAAUGGUCUCUUUUCAAGCUCUUUAAUACCGGCUUCACAGCCAUUGGGUAUUUGGCCUGGUGGCCACCACUAAAUUGUCAUUAUAUGCGACAGUUUUAAUUGAUCUUUUAUGGAAUUUUUAUUCACAUCGAAUUCCCUUGAUUAGGUUAUAGGCAUCCUCCCUCUCCUAGAAUAGGUUAGAUUAGAUUAUAGGAAUCCUAUUUUUGAGACAAAAAUAAAAAAAAAAUACUAGUUUCACAAGUAAUACGUACAUUUUAAAGUUUGAUUUCUAUUUGGGCAUUAUUUACAUAAAAGAAUAUGGUCAUACUAUUAUACAUGUGUUGAUGCAUCUUUCUCCAGAUGGAGGAACAAAAUAUAAUUCAAUCUUAAACUCAUGAAUUAUUUCUAACCAAACACCGGAAGUAACGCAAAAAUAUUUGAUCGGUGUAAGAAAACAGGCCUAAGUUUUGUAUACAGCCAAUACUUUUAUGCAAUGGGAGGCAAUUCUUAGGUAAAAUUUUGUUUUGAUCCCUUGAACGUUAGAUGUACUUCAUAUUAUACCCUAAACUUCAUUUUUUGACACUGCACCCUUUAAAGUAUAAAACUCAUCCCACUUUAUUCCUUAAACUUUAUUUCUGGAUAGUUCCCCCCCCCCCCCACAAGACGCGAACUCCUUCUCAUUUUAGUUCUUGAAUGUUGAGCAUCACUUACCUACCGUUUCAUUAGUUUUGACAAUUCUAUGGAAAAGAGUUGAUAUUUGAGGGGAUACAGUGUCUAAAAAUGAAGUUUACGAAUUAAAGUGGAUAAAUUUCAUACUUAAAGGAAGUAAAAUAUCCAAAAUUAAAAUUUAAGGACCAAAAUAGGAAUGUGUUUAUAGUGUAAGGGUCCAAAAUUAAUUGCAUAUUUCACAAGCAUUUCCACCCUAUGAAAGGAAGAUUCAAAUUAACGUAACUAUCCCAAUCCCCACAUAGCAUGCUUUCGUGUAGAUAGAUAGUAAUUAUUGUACUUCCAAUUUAAUUUCAAUAUAUCUUGAUGCCACGAGAAGUAUGGAUGCCCAUUAAUCUAGUUUGAACAAGUCCUUCAAAUUACAUUACACACAGAUUUCAAAGUCUAUAAAGUGUUCAUAAGGCUUAAAGAAAUGAAGAAAAAUAAGGCUUGCAAGGUAGAAAUAUGCGCAACCUUUUUACGUGACAAUGUUGAUAAUGACAUUAUUGCACAAGUCACUUGACCGUCUCAUCUCGGCUUGUAAUGGCGAUUUCAUGGACUAGUGCCCAUCACACUCUCUGUGAUAGGCUAAAAAGGAUGAAAGCCAGUCAAGAAAGCGACCUAAAGAUGUAAAUUUUUUCGUCCUUUUAAUUCCCAAUUCGCGUAUUGACUCUGUUGAACUUAUUGCUUACAUUACGCUUUUUACUUGAAAGCAAAUUGAAAUAUUUUGUGUUCGAGUACUUCAGCAACCAUAGAUAUUAUUUUAUUUGCAAAAAAAUUAUUUGAUUGCAUUAUAGUAAACACAUUUUUCAAUCAAUUUUUUUAUUCUUUUAAUUAUCAUUUAAUCUCAUAUAUGUUGUACUACUAAAAAUGCUACAAUAAUUUUCCAAAAUAUUAUUUCAAAUAAUCUCCUGUUUAAACACACUCCAUGUUGUUCGCUUUUAUCUUAGGAUUAGAGUGAUACACUGUGUCUGGGUAUUAGUUUCCCUAGCAAUCACAAGUACAUUGGAGUUUAUUUGGUGGAUCUUACAAUACUAUGAAUUUUGAAGUUCAAAACAAAAAAAAUCAUCCACCCAUAGAGAGCCAAAUUAAUCAUUUGCAAGUACAGAUCUCCCAGUGAUUUUGCUUAAUGUUUUAUAAACUUCUAGCAUGGAUGGCCUUCUUGCCGGAUCAGAUUGAAUGCAGUCAACUGCAAUUCUAACAAACUCAAGGAUCUCGUCUUUAUAUGCUUGCAUAAUCUCAUCCGAAUCAUAUGGUUUGGAGUUCUGAAAUGUCCAUUCGACCAUAUCAAGACCUUCAAAACUCUUCAGACAACCAUUCAUUUGGCUAAAUUCCUUUUCAGAAAUUAACUCAAGAAGCACAACUCCAAACUCAUAGACAUCCUUCUUAAACGAACCCGACUCCCAUACUUCAUUAUCUACCACAGUUCUCCAACUCGAAGAACUAAAGUUCGAUUUCAAAAGUUUUGCACUUCCAAAGUUGGAUAUCUUGGGUUCACAAGUAUGAUCAAGCAAUAUCCAUCUUGAACAAAUGCUGCUAUGGACUACUCCAACCUGAUGAAGCCAUGCAAGUCCUCUUGCAAUCCCAACUGCUAUUUUCACCCUUAUAGGCCAUUCUAUGCACUUGACCUUGCCGUUUUGAGCAGAAAAGAGGAGAUCAUGGAGGUUUCCAUUCGACAUGUAUUUAUAGACUAAAAGUCUGCUGUUAAUUUCAUAGCAGAAGCCUAUGAGUGGUACGAAAUUGCAAUGUCUCAUCCUUCCAACAGUCAUGAUCUCAGACAUAAAUUCUUGAUCGGAAUCAUAUGAGUUAUGGAGUUUCUUGACGGCAAGAAACCAACCAUUUUGGAGUAUUGCCUUGUACAUUGUCCCCAGUUUCCCCUUUCCAAUUGUAUUCAUACAGUGGAAAUCAUCAGUUGCCUUGCUGAGUUCUUCGAAACUCAUUCUUGUUACAUGUUUUUCCAGUGCCAUAAUCUAUCAUUAGAGCACACACUAUUACUGCAAAAUAUAUACUCCUUAAGGAGCUUCACUUAUGCCGAAAAAAUUUUGGUUGUAAAUAUGAUCUGAAAAAUGGAGAGCACUCAUGAAGUGGUAAAAGAAAGAAAACAGUUAGCUGCUUAAUCAUAACCAAAAAAAGAAAACAAAACUAGACAUAUGAUGUUCAAUUUAAUCCAUAUAUACACCGGUGUAACUUAAAGUUCAUUGUCUGUCUAUAGUAAAACAAAACUGUGUGCUAGCAAGUUUAUACUAAAACUUGAAUGAAUUAAAUGAUCAAACCUUUUACGUUUUACCCACAAAAAAAAAAAAAGGAAUCUGCUUUCUUGAUCAAAGAAUAUUUUAUUUCUUGGAACAAGGAGUGCGAUAGAAUUGGAAAUAGUACGGAUCUUUACACAAGCUUAUGUACUCAAUUUGGUUAUAGGGAAUGAAGUUACCUUAGAGUCUUGGAUUCUCCCAUUCGAAGUUAAAAGUCGUGGUCCUUCAGAAGCUGUAGUCUUUUGUUUUUUCUCAUUCUUGCUCUUUAGUUUUCUUGCACUCAGAAUAGGCACAAUAAACAAGUUAAGAACUAGAGCCAAGAUGGUAGAAAGUACCCAUCCAACCACAAAACCACUUGUGAAGAGGAUUUUGUCCUGUUUCUUUGUUUCUGAAUUAGACUUACAAGGCUCUAAAGGACCACCACAAAGCCCCGAAUUAUUUGCAUAGCUUUCAGAAGGUAUAGUUGCGCUAAUAAAAUUAGGGACUGGGCCAGAUAAAAGGUUGUUGGCAACAUUAAAAAUCUUCAAGCGAUCUAAUAGGCCAAUUUCUGGAGGAAUUUGACCUGUUAAUUGGUUGUUGCUGAGCUGUAGGGCAUUUAGAAAUGAACAAUUUGCAAGAGUUACAGGAAUUUCACCCGAAAAAUUGUUGAAAGAAAGGUUAAGACUUGUAGCAAAUCGGACAAUACGUGAUAAAUCAGAAGGAAUGGUUCCAUAGAGACUAUUUGUUGAAAGGUCUAUAGCCGUUAAAGCUGAGCAAUUGGCUAGGCCUCUAGGAAACUCACCUUUUAGUCCCAUUCCGCGUAGGUUAAUAGUUUGAACCUUAUUCUCGUAAGGAUGCCAGCAUUCAACACCCACGAAGGAACAUAUAAAGCCUUCCGUGCUGUUGUCAUAAUUCCAGCUUGAUAAACGGUGAAAUGGAUCAUCCAAGGACUCCUUGAUAGAUCUCAAGCAAUCAACAUCGCGUGGGUUUCCACUUCCCAAAGUAAAUAUUCCUAGCAAAAACACAAGGGCUACAAGCCUUGAAUUAAUGGCCGUAGCCAUGCAAUUUGAAACAGAACUUGUGCAAGACACUUGUUAGUGCAAAUGAGAGAGUGAUCCCUAUAUUUAUGUGCAGAGGUUGAAGUAAGUAAAUCAGGGAAAGAAGUGGGAAAGUCUCCUAAAGAAUUUGGGGCCGGCAUCGCUCCUGAUUUUUCCCCAAAAAAAAAAAACCACGAGUUGACUGAGAAUUAGUGGUAGUAGUCUCAAGAGUCAGAACCGAAAUGCACGCUAAUAGACUAACACAAGCAUAUACUGUUACUAGGGCUACUGGAAAUCAAUUCAACUCUAAACAUUAGUCUUUCUUCCACAUUCAGGGGGUCCAUGUGGAGAAUUCGAUAGAUUGAUGAAGACCGGAUACUGUCCUGGUCAAAAUUGGCUAGUGGACCGUCACUUUUCUUGUUCUUUAAUUCAAGCUUUAGCAUUUAAGGGGCAAUGUUUUAGAUGGGAGAAGAUUUCAUUCACAAUGUGUAAUCGAUUUCUGGCCUUGUAAUUCUAACUUGCACCAUUUUUCAUAUGUGAGCAACUAUACUCAGGUUUUUGGGACCUGAAGAAUUUUUAAACCAAUUGAUAUAUGUCGUAGGAAUAUUUUCAUAUUCUCGUGGUUAAAUUUAAUAAUAUUGUACAAAGCUAAUAAAUUGAUAAGAUUUUUAUAGUGUUGUAUUUAUCUCUUAGAUAGAACCACAAACAAAUCUUAUAAGCCAGUUUAUCAGUAACUAAUUGAAUCGAUAUUGGCUGAGUUCAAGCAGUUUGAUUAAAGUAUCAAGUAGUUUGAUUAAGAAUAUGCUCCCAAACUUCAUGAUUUGUAGAUAUACUUUUUAACAGUAGCAUUGAUCAUCUAUUUUAAACCACCUUAAAAAAUUAUAACUAAUAUCUAUUUAUAUAUGAGCUUGAUUAAUUAGACUUGAACUCGAGUUUUAUUGGGUUCAAUUUCUUGUCAAACUGUCCUUCUCGAAAACCAAGUCUUAUCUAGGGAUGACAAGGGAGGUGAGUGCUCACGAUGGGAGACUAAUAUAAUUAAAUCUCUUCUCUAGUUCUCCUCAUUCCCUACUUUUCUCGUUGAUUUAUUUCCUGUAGUUCGAUGCUUUAAUCUGGAGGUUCUGAUUCAUCCUAAUGGUAUACUCACAGAUGUUUUCCCACAUAUUCAAAAUGGAUUCAAGCCAAAAAAGAAAAAAGGGAAAGAAAAGGUGCCCCGAUGGAGGGAGUAGGGCGAGCAGGUGCAGGAAUGGGGCGAGAUUAGGGAGGGUUAUAUGACACCGGAGGUCCUCUCUUGCUCUGUUGCCAUCCCUACUCAUCAAGCUUCAACUCGUGCUUCACAUUAAAUGUGCAAGACCAAACAAAUCUCAUCGUAGAUUUGUCAACUUUACAUAAAAUUAUAGGGGAUUUCGUGGAUACUUUAAAACUAUGGGUUCAUAUGAGAUUAUGCAAAAGUAUAGAGGAGUUAUUAGUUAUUUACUCUAAACUCUAUUCUACGUAAGUAAAUAAAUAACUAUAGGAUUAUCACCAUAGGACUAUCGCCUUCCAAGGUGAUAAUCCUAUAGUUAUUUAUUUACUUAUGUAGAAUAGACAAGUAAUUGCAAUCAAGCUUCUACAGAUGGAACAAGUUACUGGAUCUCAAAAAGCAUUGCUAAAAAAAAGUUGCACGGGAUUGUAAAUGUUUGUUUUAGUUUCUAAAAAAUAUAUUGCACAAUAGUACUAUAAAGUAAGCUCCAAAUACACUCGAGGUGAUCCUUAUUAAAUAAAGCCACUGCUAAUUUAAUUUGUGAAUUAGAAAAAAAAAUUUUACGCAAAUAUUCCUAAUUAUAUAUUGGAUAAGGCAUCGACCUCAACGUCUUAAUUAAGUGGCAAUGAAGCUUUUAUAUUUGAAUUCGGUUUCUUAAGCAAAAUAUUGAAUAGCAUGGUUAUUUGGGAAUAUAGUGACAACAGAAGCAUAUUGCACCCACGUAGAUGUCAUGUUUUCUAUUGAUAGAUUUAGAGGAAAUAAAGAUUGGUCACGAACUUUUAAGUUCAUUCCCCGUUUUGCUUUGGGGGAGGGUUGGAUUGGAUGGUUCGGGGGAAGUGUGAUAGGUGUCGAGCCUGUGCAAUAAUAAAUACCUACUCGAAAAAAAUACAAAUUUUGUAUAUAGCGGUGAGCAGGGUCGAAUCCAUAAGGACUGGGAAUAAUUCGUUUCUUCUAGAGUUCAGAGCAUGGAGGAUUUUUGGAUUAAAUGCUAACUAAAUAAAUUAAAUACAAAAAAAUAAUUAAUUGACAGAAAUAACUGGAGAGACUCUAGCCAAGGAUACACUUCAGAAAUAGUUCAUGCAACUGAUCAUCGAUGCAAAUAUAAUUCCAACAAUUAUCAAUAGAUCGGUUAUAGUUGUCAUAUACGCGAUAAACAACCAGCCUUUCUUUAAUUUUUCGAUAAUUAAGUUGUACGACCAUUAACUAUUUCUCUAACUAAGAAACAACUCUAGGUACGACCGUAGGAUUUAAUUUCUAGAUUGCAUUAAGGUUUAGAAAGGUCCAAUCCUAACUAACAAACACGCUACGAGGGUUUAUUUAAGUUAGAUCGUAUGUUUUUUUGACAUAAAUCCAAUUAUGUCAGUUGCUACUAGGACAGAGGUAAUCGAAUAAUUACGGAUUCAAUUACCCUCAAUUAGCAAAUAGCCUAUGUGAAUAAUUAAAUAUUACGUAUCUAUUCAAUUAUACACGAUAGUUAUAACAACAAUCAAAAGCAGAAAACAUACAGAUAUCAAUAAAUGAAGGAAACAAUUAAAAUAAUUUAGAUCUCAUAGUUAUUAUUGAACCAAAUCUUCAGUUGUCCAUUGACUAGAAAUACGAAGUUAGUUCUCCAUUAAUGGAGAACAAGCCAUGUAAAAAUUUGUUUUAAGCUUCCCCGUUGUUUCUUUCCCAAAAGUCGGCUAAAAAGAAAAGUACAAAGACAAGAGAGUUUCCCCUUGAAUUGUUACAAGUUUUUUCCUGGAAAAAAGCCUAAAGAAAAGCUUAUGCCUCCUGUCUCUUGUGCAGCCAGGCCCACCAAAGAGUCACUCACGCUGCUGACUCCUUCGAGUAUUAAUCAUACGGGCCGGCCAUCCUAUCAUUUUCCUAAUUUUUAGUUUUUUGAAACCAAAUAGACUUCCUCCUAAUCUUCCACCAAUAAUCCACGUAGACUCUAUUUUGAAUUGAGAAACUCUUGAAAAAUCACAUCUUUUAUCUCUUUUUGCUUCACCUUCCUACAAUUAGUACCAAAUACCAAAUAUAAGUAGAAUCUAUCAAUUAAUACAAUAUUUGGAAUAAUAGAAGAGGAAAAUAAUCAUAGAAUUAAUGACAAAAAUGCAACCUAUCAAAGUGUAAGUGAGAGGUCUCGGGUUCGAGUCCUCAUACUUACACUAAAAAAAAAAAGAAAAAGAAAAAGAAAAAGAGAUCAACACUAAUUCUGCACGAGUUGAUCUGGUAGCUAGAAAAGAAUGAUUAUAGAAAAUAAUUGAAAGACAAAAUUACUAUCAAAUUGUCACUAAUCCCAAAAUAGCUAGUUAAUAACAACACUAUGGAAAAUCAGGUGCGAGAUAGACGUUCGGGUUAGAUAUAAUUUAGCACCUCUCAUAGUCUUUUUAAUCAUACUCUUCGAAAUACUUGCAUGUUUUCACUCAAAUUUCUCCAAAAAAUAAACAAAAGGUGACCCAAAAAAAAUGAAUUAUGAACCUAUUACUUCUCAAAAGCCCAAGAAUAAAAAAUGAAUACUCGAAGCAACAUAUGAUUAGCACAUCAAAAUGAAGGCAUUCUUAUCUGUUGAUAUAGUGAUCCUAUAUCGCCAUAGACAGUCUUAAGGGGGCGGUCCCCAAAAACCUCAGAACUUUCUCCCGCAAAAAAUUUAAAAAAAAAAUUCAACAAUCAAUGUCCUUUAUGAAUUAUUAUUUUUGUCCCCCACUAGAAUUUCAAAAAUAUCUAUAAAUUUAAUUUGUUCCUCAAAGUAACAUUUCUGGCUCUGUUUAUGUAUAUUGCAUGAGGUUAGUUAACGGGAGAAAAUUAAAAAUAUUAUCAUCAAUACUAUAAAAUUCAAUACAUUUUUUUAUCAAGCUCGGCAAGAAGGUGGUCUUAAAAUAAUUAAAAAAAGAAAAGUAUACAAACCAAAAUAAACUUUUUCAAACAAGAAAAAAACUUUUUUGAAGAAGUACACAAAUAUCUUGCGUAAGUAAUAAAAUAAAAAAAGACUUGAAUUUGAGAAAAUAAAAUGGGGGAUGUUGAACACGUGCUACGCUGAAAUUGACAAAACACGUCAAUUGAUUUUAGGCAGCCAAAAAGACAAAAAGUUCAACUACUUAAUAUGCUGACACUCCUAAUUCUUGGAUCAAUUGCUACUUCUCUAAUUUCUCCCUGUUCUGCCAUAUACCAAAUCCUUACACUUGAAAAUCAUUCUCCCCCCAAAACUUUUAGCGUAAACUCGCACAAAAAAAUGAAAACCAAAAGCACAAGAUUUCUUUUCUAAUGUUAAAUUUUAUUUUCAUCCAUCACAUUGAUGUGAAGUUUUUCGAAGUUCGUUCCUAUGUGAAGGAUUUCGGGAGGGAGGGAGGUAGGAGAAAUGUCGUGAGAGAGGGCGACAGGAGAAGGAUCCUACUAUUUAAUGGGGUUGCUUGUUUAAAUUGGAGUUAAAUAAUGGGGACAAAAAUCAAAGGGCAAUCUUCAUAAAUUUCCAAACAUGCUCAAAUUAAUUCCAGACAUGACGUGAUUGACUUAAAAUAAUGUGUUGUUUUUUGCAUAUAUAUUUGUCAGAAGAAGAAUUUGGUGGCUUCAUCUGAUUGAAAAAAAAAAUUUUAAAACGUAAAAUUCCCUGCUUUUUAUCUUCCAUGAACUUUUCCCUCUAAUCUUUUUUCCUUUUUUUUUUUGUAUUUGUUACCUUAUUACUAUAACUUUUUCAAUAUUGAUCAAGGUAUCAACUUUUUGGACUUGUUGAGAUGCCUUGAAUUAGAUCUUCAACCCCCGCUGAGCUGUACGGGGAUCUCGCUGCCCGGUCAGCAAGUCGGGGGUCUAGGGGGCGACGCGCCCCGACUGAGGGGCCCGGGGGGCAGCGUUGCCCCCGGUGGGGGUUCGGGGGUAACGCCCCCGAAACUUACGGUAUAUAUUAGUUACCGUGUCUGUUUUAUUUUGGGUCUUGUUUUGGGCCUAUUUUGGGUCCAGUCUGUUUGGUUGUAUAUAUAUACACCUUAUUUUAGUCGGUAAACUAUUCCGAUUACAACCCUAAUAAAAUCUGAUUUCCCCCAAGUUGUUCUUGUCUAUUCUUGUUUGUUCUUCUGUUCCGCUGCAUCUGCUAUAACAGGACUUUUCUGAGGUAUCCUGUUAUUAGGUUGCAUUUCUAAUGUUAAAAAUGCUCUCAGCACUUUUUCCCCCUUAAAUUAUGGCAGCUUUUAUUAUGAUCAUUUUCGCUUUGUUAACUAUAGCUCAAAUGCUCAUUAAUAUGGUGACGCAAACUUUUUGCACGUGUUAUUUUGUUGUUUUUAAGAAUAAUAAAAGGAUUCCUCUAGUUUGGUUUUUCUGGAUUCUUUGGCUUGUAAUUGGUUAUAAAACACAAUUUAUCGCGCAAGGGUCUUAUUGCUGUUGUUAUUCUUUUAUUCCUUUUUUUCCAUAUCGAAACGUAGUCAUAUGAAGUUGCCUUGCGUUGGCGAUGUAAUAUGAAAGAAAUUGCUGUUCAGGUGCAAGUUAUCCAGACUUUUCUAGCCAAAUAAGAAUUUGAAACAUAGUUUAAAGAGCACCUUGAAGUGAACCAUUGUUGGUAUUGCUAGAAAAGAAAGGAGAAGCUGUUAGUUAGAUGUUUUAAAUUGGUCGAGUCUUGAAAAAUUUUGUUAUGAGGUUUGAUGCUCUUAUUGUCUGCCUAAAACCUGAAUUGGUCAAGCACUGCUCAUUGUCUUUGCCCAUUUUAAAUAUGUUCAUAUGCUUUUGAAGGAUUAAGCUUCCUAGGCUGAAGGAAAAGAAACCAGGUAUCACAAGCACUCAGUACAGAGAAGCCAGUAUAUUUUUCACAAAAUGGAAUGUUAGAUUAACAUAUGUCACUGAAACUAUGAGUGGACUUAUAAAUUGAAACAAUUGGCUUAUGGUGAACGCAUUUGCAAUUCAAUUUGUACCGUUGCCAAGUCAAUUGGAACUCUAAAUGUAUUGCUGAUUGAUGAACAAGGAAUAUGUUUAAGUUUGAUAUAAUUCUGGGGUGAUUGUUUGCUUUGACCCCAAAAAGAAAAAAAGAACAAAACAAGGCAAGAUGGAAUUCUGUUGUGUGAUAGCUGAUCAAAUAGGUUGCACAGAAAUAAUAGAAAUUUGGUUUCAUUUGGACUAUAAUUGUACAGGUAUGAAGACGAUCGAUAGGGUAAUAAUGGGUGCAGAGGGUACUUAUUGCUUUCUUCCUAUUUGGAGAAAGUUGAGAAGUAUUUAUCUUGAACCAAUUUUUGAAAAAUAGGCAUACUUUGAAGCCCUAUACAAGAAAUUGCUACUUAAAAAUUUGUGCUACUCAUGAAGAAAUCUAAAAUGGUUCAAGUCUUGCAAUAAACCAUAUGAAAUGUGCAGUUAGGUGUCCAACAACUGUUAAAAAAAUUCUUCUACGUUUUGUUUCAUCUAACUAUUCCUUGUUUGGGUUUCGAAUUUGUAAAUAAACUUGGGCUAGUAGACUCGACUUUUGGAGUAACUUGGAUCCUUCCAUCCAGGGUAGUUCUUAUUUUACAAGGUCUAUUAGCAGCCGGUUGCAUCAUACGAUGUGUUCUAAAGUUUGGUCCACUUGGAAACAUGGUUCUAGGGUCAUCAUUCAUCUGGGCACGCCUCAAAAUUUGAGUUGAAGUCUUGAGAAUGUUGAGAAUGUUGAAGUCUUUGGAUAGGUUCGAUUUCAUUCAUUUGGGCACAUCUCAAAAUUUGAAGAGCUUAUCACUAUGUGGCAGAUGUGUCAACACAGGUAAAUUGAUUGACAGUUUCGUGACUAAAUCCCCUCAUGUCGAGUCUCUGAAAUGUGUGGAAUGUGCUUCCUAUGACCACUUGGAAAGAGAACAUCUAACAAUGCUCGCUGAAGCAUAUCUACCGGUAUUCAACAUCAGAAAGGCCUAAGUAGAGAUUGAAGCUCCAAGAGUUCCAUCUUUCUAAAAUGGCAAUAAAGUCUUCCCGAAUUUGUCUUUCGCGAAUGGUUCGUGCAAUAUGGUGUGUCGUACUUCUAUAUACUGCUUCAACCUCAUUGACUCCCGGUGGUUUUUGAGGUUGAGCAAGCUGGGGUCCAAGUUGCUUCCGUCGAUAAUAUUUACUAGACAUCCUAGUUCCUCGAAAAGGGCACGACAUCAACGAGAGCGUAGAAGACAUGCUGUUUUUAGUACUGAUAACUUUGUGAUCAAUUACGUCGAGAUGCAGGCUGAUCGACGAGAUGAUUGAGUCCUGCAAAUCACCCUGCACUAAAUUAUGGCAGAAUAAUCUGAAGCGAGUGGAUGUCAAGCUGCCGUCUCUGAACUAGAUUAGAAUGGGAUGAUGAUGAAUAUUUGAAUUCAAGCAAGGCCCAAGAAGCAGAUACCUUAAGCUUAGACUCUUAGUUUCAUUACGGUAUCUGUUUAAUUAGUUCUUGAAGAAGGGUUACUUCGUUCAUGUAAGAGGGACACUAGUUGAUGAGGAGUCACACUGUAACUCACAAAUGAGUGGCGGCUCAUUUGGAUACUAUGCACAGGUUUUAACCUAUAAUUGCAGGUUUUACUGGGACGAAUUUGCAAUGGUAUACUUAAUAUGGAUUAAUCUUAUAUACACUGUAGUAUAUAUACUAUCAUCAUUAAAUAUAUGAUACAUGUGCAAAAUUUGUUUACGUGUCAUUUAUCCAACCAUGAUAGUGGAUACAUCGACAAUGUGUAUGAAAUUUACUUAUUUAAUACAACCAAUAGUAUGUUUUUGUUAGAACAAGUAAGUUUCAAUAAUUUGUGUAACUUAUUUUUUAGAUAACAAAUCUUACUAAAAUUUUAACAAAAAACUACUACUUUUCUCCAAAACUUACAUUUUUGUGAUAAAGCUUAUAAAAAAUCUUACUUUCAAGCAAAAAACUUACCAUUUUUAUACAAAUUUUAGUACUUUUUUCAAGUCAAAACGUAUGAUUUCAAUAACAAAUCUGACCACAUUUUUAGUAAAUUUUACUAAAUCAUUAACAAAUCUUAAUAUCUUUCAAGCAAAACUUUAUGCUAAACUUGCUACUUUUUUCAAGCAAAACAUGUGACCUGAUUAUUAAAUCUUACCUUUUUUAUGGAUAAUUUUAGAAACCUUCCCUAAGGCUUAUUUGAACACCACUUAGCACCCUUGAAAUUUUAAAAUAUCACCAACCUCCCCUCAAAUAAUGAAUUUUGCAAUAAUGUCACCUUUAUCUCAUAAAAGUACUUCUAAAACAAUCAUUUAAGGGAAAUAGAUAUAUUUUUCUUCUAGUUUUACACUUUUUUUUGAGUUUUCUACCAAAUUGAUUUCUAAGAUAAGAUUUACAUGAGGAAGACUUUAAAAGUUCUUUUUUUUUUGGAAGGGAAAGGGCACUAAGUGCUACAGUAUUUGUCAAAAUAGUGAUUUUUUUUAUCCUAAAUAUUUAUGAGAAUAUUGAAGAAAAUUUAAUAUAAGAUUGGUAUAGGAAGAUUUAAAAAAGGUAGAGAAGACAGAUAUUUAAGUGCAAAAUUAAUGGCUUGAGUAGGCAAUUUAGAUUUACAAUCUUCUAAUUUUUGUGGAAUGAAUAAUUAUUCGAAUAAUGAGCAAAAUUUGAUAUAAGGUUGUUAUAGAAAGAUUAAGGGGGAAGGGAAGGGUAUUAAGGGCAAAAAAAAUAAUUAUUUGAAUAGCCUUUUCUUAUUGAUUUCCUUUUUUCCAAGUUUUUUCACAAAUAAUUGUUAAAAUAGUAAAGUUAAAUUAAUAAAAGAUUGGCAUAAAACUAUAGAAUAAAGGGGUGUUUAACUAUAGAAUACCCCUUUUUUUUAACAGAAAAUAUACUAGGUCUUAAGUAAAUUUUACCAUCCUUUUAGUGAAAGUUACAACCUCUUCAAGGACUUUUAGUACCUUUUAAACCAAAUAAAGUUCUAGUCAAAUUUACCAAAUAGUACUUUUCUAGAUGGCUAUUGGUAAAAUUCACUUCUUUUUUUUUGGUAAGUAAACCUUACUACAUUAUGGAUAAACUUUACCAACUUUAAAGCACAACUUAUCAUUGUUUUACACAAAAUUCACUACUAUUUAAAGUAAAACUUAUUACUUCAUUUACUGUUCUUACCAUUUGAGAAUGGAUGGAAAUUUAUGUAGAUUAAAUCUUUUAGAUGUCAUCAUCAAUUUUUUAUAAGCCUAUCGGUACUAGUCAUCUAAGAGUUUUUUUGCCAAAAUAACUCUUUUUCCUAAACAAAGUAAUCUAAUUUUAAAAUUUAUUACUUUUAUAAUUUUUUGUGUCACGCAAGUUGCAUACAUGUCACGAUAGAGAUAGAAGCACACUUCACUUCUCUUUCCCACUUGAUAUCUUUCAACAAUUCUCUCUUUGAACCUUCUUGCAUUUUUUUCUUCCCUUAUCUUUUCCCUUGUCAAGGGUAUGAAUUCAGAGGAGCCAAUAUUUAUAUUAACAAAAUUUAAAACUUUAGUAUCAUCAUUGAAAUUGUUUUAGUGGAUGAAAAUCUUCUUCUCGAAUAGACAAUUUCAAGGUAAACAAAGAUUAUUUUCUUAUCUUUUUUAUUGUGCAGUUUUUGCAACAUUAUGUGGCCUUCAAAAAAUUUUGAAUAGUGAUAGUUUAAUAAUAAUUUCACACACCAUGUGUUUGAUAAAAUGUCUUGGAGAAAAACUACAAGAAACCAUAGAUUCAUACCCAUCAUGUUUGAUAUCCUCCACAUAAAUGAGCAUGUUCAUUUCUAACGUUUCUCUGUCAAAUGAUCAAAUAAUCUCAUGUAUUUGAAAUAGUUUUCCACAUGUAUUCAACAUAAAUUGGAUUUUAUUUGCCAAAAUAUAUUUGCUUACAUCAUCAUUACAAUUUCCAACACACCUUUUUAUCUUCCUAAUUUCCUUUUUAUCUCACAUACAUCACAUUACAAAAAGUGCUACAGUAAAAAUAUCUCUAAUAAUUCACAAUCCAAACAAACCCAGUGUUCCACAUAUAUUCAACAUAAAUUGGAGGUUUGUGUUAUUUUUGAGCAAGUUUAGAAUUAUUUUAAUUAGUUUAGUAGAUUUCAUUUGCAUUACAUGAAGUUUACCGGUCCCCAUUUUGCUUUAAACUACUAGCAGUUCUUUUAUCUGGUAGUAUUAUGAAUAACAUGUAAAAGAUGGCCUUACUAAUUGCGGACAAAUGCUGGUAGUUCUUGUAUUAGAUAGUAUGACAAUAUUUAGUUAAUUCAUGAUUUUUUUAAAAAAAAUUUUGUGCAAGCGGCCUAGCUGAAUUUUGUAGCUUGACUACUUUUUGUAAAAAUUCAGGAAUUCUUGCAUUAGAUAAUAUGACAACAUUUACUUAAUUAAUGAAUUUUUUAUUUUAUGCAGGCAGUCUAGCUGAAUUUUGUAGCUUGAUUACUUUUUGUAAGAGUUCUUUUCAGGAAGUUGGAAGGAUAACAGAAGCAAUUACAAUAGUCUUGAAUUUUUUAUAACUUUUUCUUGCUAUUACACACAAUUAUCAAUGCAAUUUUUGUAUUUUCCAAAUUUAUUUUUUGAAACAAAUAUGCACAAUAGGUUUGAUACAUCUCAAAAAAAAUAUGCAAAGACCAAAUAUAGCAAGGUUGAUAGUGGUGGAAUUUAUUUUAAAUAAUUAUAAAGAAAUUAUCAAAGCUAUGCAAUCUUCUUGUGCCUCUAUAAUAAAAAAAACUUUUAAUUUUUGGUUCAUGUUGGAAAUUAUAAAAUUGAUAUAUUUACUACUAGAUUGAAGCUUUCCUUUCUUGUUAUGCUACUUGACAAUCAGGAUAACUACAUAGCAAUAAUAACAUCAUUAUAGGAAUAAAUUUUGAAAAUAAAUCACAUUGGGAAUAUUUUUUAGAAAGAGAAUUAUUUUGGCAAAAAACUCGUCAUCUAAUCUAUACUCCUGUGUCCAUCUAUUUCUCACCACGAAGAAGGUAAUAUACGAAUGAACUCGCCGGCCGUGCUCAUUAAUGUACAGUGGAAAACUCUACCCCUUUUGAGUCCUAGAAUACUUGUUUUGCAUAUGGUUAUUUCCAGAUUUGAGGCCUUACAAGUUCUAGUCCAAAUUAAUUGUUACAUUGGGUAAAAACUCGUACAAUUUUGGUGUAAUCAUGUUUUUGCAUAAAUUUAGUUGUAUAAGUUACAAACUUAAGUUUUACAUCAAAGUUGUUUCGGUUUACAAAAUAUUAUAAAAAUUAUACAAUCGGAUUAAACUAGUUAAUAACUCAACUUGUGAGAUACCAGAUCUAGUUAUUUUCCACCUAUAGCUAAAAAUGAAUAAACCCAUGUCAAUUUGUGUCACUCGCUUAGGUGGAUAUUGAUUUUUAGAGGUGGCAAUGAAUUGAGUAGAUUCUGAAUACUCAUAUACUCAAGUUAGACGAAUGUUAUAUUUAGGCACUUGAACUCGACUUGAAUAAAAUUAAAGGAGGUUGAGCUCGUGCUAGAGCUCGCUUGAGAAAACAAAGUGAGCUCAAAUUGAGAAUUCCUCGAUAAUAAUUGGCCUUACUACUAAUGGAGACUUCGUUAAUUUCAUUAUUAUUAUUAUUAUUAUACUAUAUGAAAGAAAAGCUUGACAAAGCUUUUAAACUGCAUGCCUUAAGGUUUGACCCUGACCAAAAAAGGGGUUAAAAUAGCUCAAGCUCAAUUUCAAUUCAGUCAAAUUCGAGCUCAAAUAAGUAUUUGACUAGCCACUUUUUUUUUUUUUUUGUUAUAACGAUUAUAUUCUUAUUACCUAAUCUAUCAUAUUCUACAGGGAGGGGGAAUCUAAAGAGGUUGUGUAAAGGAUUAGCAGGUGUACAAACCUAACUACACUCUUUUGAAUUUUUUUUCAUUGCAAGUGGGAUUUGAAAUGCUCGAUUGAUUGCCACCCAUAGUCAUUUUGCAACUCAAGGACUCAACAAUUGAAUUUUGAAGUGACAUAAAUUACCAUCAUUAAAAUUAAAAACCCUGGAAUCAGAUAGAUUAGAGGUAUUGAAUUGUUAUAAAACUAAUAAAAUAAACCACUAUAAUAUCAAGUGAAAUAUUGGAGAUAUUAGAGAAAGAAGUAGAGAAAAUAGAGAGUGAUUAUCUUAUUAUUCCAACUAAUACAAAAGUCCUGCUAAAGGGAGUCAAUGUACCUCUAUAUAUAGGUACUACAAGAUUAAAGGAACAUUAAUCCUAUUAAACACCCACUACUACAAGAAUAUGAAGAAACCUAUGAAACAGUUCUUCCACUACAUGAAUAGAUUUAUGGAUUGUAACUUCUAUACAUAAUGUAGUCAUAAAUCAUGAAUUAAUCCUCUUGGGAAUACAAAGGGACAUCCAUACUUUUAAUUGUUUCAUAACACUCCCCCUUGGAUGUCCAUUACACAAAGAAUAUGCCUCGUUAAAACCUUACCAGGGAAAAACCCAUCGGGACAAAAACCCUAGUGAAGGAAAAAGAGUACACUAUUCUUGUGUAUUAAUUUCUCUCCCUGAUGCAAACAUUAUUUGAGAUCUUUUAAUCGUUACAUUCCAAUAUUCUUCGCCAAUUGCACUGAGAUAUGGUACUUCAGGACCAAGUAUCUCUUCAUCUUCUUCUUGCGAUCUAAACGGAUCAUUAUUAGGAUCUAAUGAUCUGACGACUAUUGGAAUAUUUAAUAUAUGUGCCUUAUUCAUAUAAAAUCGUUUUAAUACCUUCCGGGUAUAAGCAAUUUGGUGGACAAAAAUUCUACAUUUCAAAUGCUCAAUUUGUAAACCAAGGCAGAAUUUUGUCUUUCCAAAAUUUUUGAUCUCAAAUUCUAUCUUCAAAUAUUCAAUAAUAUUUUGAAUCUCUUCAGGAGUUCCAAUUAAAUUUAGAUCAUCAACAUAUACCACAAUUAUCACAAAAUUUGAUCCAUUUUUCUUGAUAAAAACACGUGGACAUAUUGGAUCAUUGGUAUAACCUUCUUUUGUCAGACAUUCAUUGAGACGGUUAUACCACAUACGUCCAGAUUGUUUGAGCCCAUACAGAGACCAUUGUAAUUUAAUAGAAUAAAUAUUUUUAGAAUUUGAUUUGCAUGCUUCAGGCAUGUUGAAUCCUUCGGGGAUUCUCAUAUAAAUAUUAUUUUCAAGAUUCCCAUAUAAAUAUGCAGUAACGACGUCAAUUAGACGCAUAUCUCAUUUCUCAUGUAUUGCAAAACUUCACAAGAUAUCUAAAUGUAAUAGCAUCCACUACAGGUGAAUACGUUUCAUUAUAAUCAAAUCUAGGCCUUUAUGAAAAUUCUUGGGCUACAAGUCUUGCUUUAUAUCUCACAAUUUCAUUUUUCUCAUUUCUUUUUCUCACAAAUACCCAUUUAUAUCCUACUGGCUUUACACCUUCAGGUGUUUGGACUACAGGUCCAAAAACUUUUCUUGUAGCCAGUGAGUCCAAUUCAGAUUGGAUCGCAUCUUUCCACUUUACCCAAUCAUUUCUACACCGACAUUCAUCAACCGAUCUAGAUUCAUGAUCCUCAUCAAUUUCUAUAAUAUCAAGUACUACAUUUCAUUAGGUUCCAAUUAAAUUUUCUAUGAUUUAAUUCUCUUCAGGAGUUGACUCUUCAGGAGCGACCUCUUCAAGAGGUUGAAUUUUGUCAUGACAUUUAUUUAAUCUCCAGAGAUAUUUGAAAUCAAUUUAUACCUAAUUUAGGUAGGCCGGCCUUAAAUUUAUUUGUAGCACUUGUGCAUGUCCUUCAGGGACAUCAAUUUUAAUCAAAAUAUUUCCUGUAGGAAUAAUUGAUUUAAUGACUCUUCUGGAGUCGAUAAAUAUAAUUGAUAAUUGGUUUGCAACUUUCUGCAAAUGAAUAAUCUUUUGAACUUCCAGUUCACGUUAUUUUGUAUGAGGAUCGAGGAAAUUCAAUUUUUUAAAAUGAUUUCCUUUCGGUUGAUCUUUUCCUCCCCCUAAUGUCGGGAAUCGUAACUCAUCAGAAUAAAUAAAUCAUUCAAUAAAUCACCCAUCAAUAUUUUACGAUAUUUAAUCGUAAAAGGUGAUUCAUAUCCGACAUAAAUUUUAAAUUUCUUUUGGAGCCAUAUAUAAUAUAAAGGGGGUAUGUAUAAAUACUUGUCGGCUCUCAAAUAUUCUCACUUUUGUCAAAUCAUAUAUCCGUUGGGAUCAGUAAACUUCUGGUUUACUGCAGGUGAUGAUUAUAAAUCAAAAUGAGGAUGAAGACAACUAUAUCGAUAACCAUUUCUCUCUCGAAUGGUUAUUAUAAUAUAAUUAAUCUUUAUCUCACCUGAUUUCUAAACAUGAUCUCUAUUAUUGUCUCAUUUAGUGUCUCAAUUUGAUAUCCAUUUCAACGGAUAUUCAAAUUCAAUAAAUUCUUCGAGACAUGGUAAAAAGUAGUGCUUCAUUUAUCAUAAACUUUUCUCAUACAGGGAGAAAUAUAUCAUUGGCUCUUCUAGAGCUUUCAACUUUCAAUCACUUAAGCACUACCACUGAUUGUGUUUGCCUCUUUUGUUGGAAAAUAGUGCAUAUAGUAGCAUUUAUUAAUGAGACAUAUAUCAUUGUCACCAUAAUUUUUAUGGGACAAAUAUCAUCACCAUAAUCCUUUGAUUCCAAAUAUUUAACAUUCAUUUCUUCUUCGGAAAGAAAAGUUAAUUAAAUCAAUCAUCAUACACCUUCAGGGUGUUUAAAGAAAUUGGCCAUGUGAAGAUGAUAUUAUAAUUUUGAUUCGUCAAAUGUACUUCGGGACAUUUAUCUUCGGAAUUCUUAUUUUCUUGUCCUUAUUAUUAUUAUCCCACUUUAACUGGUAACUUUUUCUCUUGUCAUGGUAAAAUACAUAUUUACCAAAAUCAUAGUCAUGACAUCAACCAUAACUAGUAAAUUGCACAUUCACUUCUGGGAAUGGACUAGAACUAACAUACAAUAAGUACAGAAUACUACUCAAAUUUUCUCUCAAUAUUGCUACUACAGGAGCGUAUUCGAGAAAUCAAUUGUAGAGAAUAUCAUUUUCAAUAUAUCUUAUGAGUAAAAUUUUCUCGACACAAUUUCAAUUGAGAAGUAAUUCUGAAAAAUGCAUAAUUAUGUUCUUGUAGUCAUAGGUAAAUUUAUCAUACCAGGCUUUUGAAAUAAUGACCAUCUUCUGGUGGCCAAAUCUUUUUGUUAAAGAACGACCAUCUUCAGGUGGUCGAAUCUUUUUCUUUAAAGAUUUCAAAGGACAAAUGAAUCCUCAAAUAUAAUUGAUUUUCUAUAAUAGCAUCUCCAAAAUUCAUUGCAUCAGAAUAUAAGUAUUUAUUACAAAUAAUUCUAAAGAUAAAUAAGUAGAAUUAAAAGGAGAAAUAUUACCUCAAAAAUGUCAAAAAGUAUAUGUUCUUGUUUAGUAGUUGCUCAGUAGUAGACACUUGUAUUUUGCAAUCAUUCAAAGGUUAACCAUAAUAAAUUGAAAUAAAUUUAUAGGUUAGAAAUUUACCUCAAUAAAUAGACAGAUGUUGCCGAAAAAAUACGGGCAGAAUCUCUUGUUUCAAUUUUACUCAAGGUAAAGCCUCCGUUUUCACCUUUUGCUCAAAAGUAGAGACUCGUGCUGAUAACGUGUUAUAAAACUAAUAAAAUAAACCACUAUAAUAUCAAGUGAAAUAUUGGAGAUAUUAGAGAAAGAAGUAGAGAAAAUAGAGAGUGAUUAUCUUAUUAUUCCAACUAAUACAAAAGUCCUGCUAAAGGGAGUCAAUGUACCUCUAUGUAUAGAUACUACAAGAUUAAAGGAACAUUAAUCCUAUUAAACACCCACUACUACAAGAAUAUGAAGAAACCUAUGAAACGGUUCUUCCACUACAUGAAUAGAUUUAUGGAUUGUAACUUCUAUACAUAAUGUAGUCAUAAAUCAUGAAUUAAUCCUCUUGGGAAUACAAAGGGACAUCCAUACUUUUAAUUGUUUCAUAACAUGAAUAGAGUUUUUUUGUUCUAUGUUCUUCUAAUGAAAUUUUCUAUUUUGAUCUAAUAUUUUUUCAACUUUCUCAAAUUUAACUGAUAAAAAUAUUUUAAGAGACUAAAGUGAUAGAAAUACUAAAAGUCAAGGGUAUAAAGUGUAAAAAACCCUUUUGAUAGUCAAAUAACAUAUUUGAUUUUCUACUCAAAAAUUACAUAUCCUGUCAACUUAGACCUUUUGUCGAGGAGGUUAAGUCAUAAAAAGUUCCACUAUGAAACCUCCUAUUUUCCCUUCUCCUUGUACAAUUGGAGCUUUCCACUGAACCCAAAGAUAAAUAAAUAAAUGAUAAAAAACUAUAAGUAGGCACUAAAGUGAUAAACAUGCUAAAGUUUAGGUGGCUGAAGUGUUUGAAACACUGGAGUUUUCUUGCAAUGCUAUACUUGGAGUCCUAAUAGGAAACGGAAUAGACGCAUUAUAGGGCAUCCCAUUAUAGGAUUCCUAAAAGAAAAAUUUUGCAAACUUCCAAAGUAUACGAAAACCUCCACAUCUUUUCUUUUUCCUUUACUUUCAACUCAUCCCCUCGAAGUUAAUUGUAUCAAUUCAAGAGCCAAAACCAUGGAAAAAGAAGUGCCGCUGUACUUGCCGGAAGGCAUAAUCCACCAUAUAUUCUCUUUUCUCAACACAAAACAGAGAGCCCAAGCAAGCCUUUUAUCCAAGGCUUGGCUGAAGGCAUGGCGCACAAACCCCAGAUUAGAUUUUGAUGAUCGGUACUUCCACCAAAUAAAGAACCCUGUUUGUAAAUUUUUCGAGGAUCAACGAAAUUGCUCACUUAAGCAUCCAGGAAAUUGCUCGAGUUGUGAAGAGAAGUUCAGGGCCCAUGUUAGCAAUUAUACUUUGUUGCGGAAACAUGAUUACCAAGAUCAUCAUAUAGAGGAGUUCAAUCUUUCCAUGACCUUGAUCAAGGACGAUUAUGUGGCUUGUGACCUGAUCAACACAUGGCUUGGGUUUGCUGUAGAAUUUGGUGUCAAAGUUCUUCAAGUCACUUUGCAUCAAGGUCUGUAUUCAUCGUACACUCUGCCUAUUGGUCACAUAUUACCUAAGGCUGAAUCAUUAACAGAGUUACGGGCUAAAAAUUGUAGAUUCCCAAUGCAGAUAUAUGGUGAAAGGAAUAUUAUGUGCAAGAAUAUCAAGGUAUUAAAAUUUGAAGAAGUCUACAUAACUAACGAGAUGUUUGAUUGCUUAAUUGCGGGUUGCCCCUCGAUCAAUGAUUUGGUGAUCAUUGAUUGCAGGGGCUUGAACAAAAUCGAGUUGAUCAAUCUUUGCAGCCUCGAAAAACUUCGUAUAUAUGUAAAGAAUGAUUUAACUAUCAAAGUUGAUCAAGCACCUUGUCUUGAGAAUGUUGAGUUGUUGUCUUUGGAAUGGAUGAAUUUUGUUCAACUGGGCACAUCUCCAAAUUUGAAGAGCUUAUCACUAUAUAGUGGCAGAUGUAUCAGAAAUGGUCAAUUGUUCGAUGACUUCGUGACUAAAUUUCCUCGUCUCGAGUAUCUGAGAGUUAUAGAAUCUGGUAGCUUUUCUGGCUUGGAAAGAAUAAAUCUAACAAGCCACUCGCUGAAGCACAUACACUGGUUUUCAACUUCAGAAAUGCCCAAAGAAUUAGAUAUUGAUGCUCCAAGCCUUGCAUCUUUCUCAUAUACCAAUCAAAUCAUCCCAAAUUUAUCUUUUGCAAGUGCUUCAUGCAAAAUGAGGUCUUGUAUUUCUAUAUGCUGCCCUCAUCUCAUUGACUACUCGUGGUUUCUGAGGUUGUAUAAGCUGGUGUUGAAUUUGGUUCCGUCUAGAAUAUCACUUGGCAUCGAACUCCCUCACGCUAAACAUGGCUUCCAAGAGAGCAUAGAAGACAGAUUGAUUGCGAUGAUUGCGAGUACUUGUGUUCCUGUUCAAGUUGAGGAACUCCAGUUAUAUACGGUGGCCAAGUGGUCACCAAACAUUGAUGAACAUAGUUGUAUUAAUCUUAUUGAUGGUUUGUUAUUGGCAUGUCAUCCUAAGACUUUAGUCUUGCCGAAAACGAAGGCACAUCUAAGUACUGGCAACUUCAUGAUCAAGUACUUGCUCAACAUGCUGGCUGACAGACGGGAUGAGGAGUCCUGCAAAUCUCCUUGCACUAAGUUAUGGCAGAAGGAUCUAAAGAAAGUAGUUAUCAAGCAGCCGCCACUGGACUGCAACACUUUGCUGGAUGAAUCAGUGAGUUUUGAGAGUGGGAAGAUGCAGAUUAUUUUUGCUUUAGAAUGGGAUGAUGAUGCAUCUUUGAAUUCAAGCAAGGCCCGAGUACGUAGCAGAUACCAUGAGCCUUGAGGAAUUAAGCUUAGAUUCCUAGUUUCACAAGCUCUGUUUAAUUGGUUCUUGAAGAAGAGUCGCUUAGCUAAUUCACCUAAAAGUAAGUUACAUUUCAUGUCUGGGAAUUCUCCUUAAUUUGAGGAUGGUUGGGAAAAUUUUAUGAAGAUUGAAUUUUUGUUCUUCUAACGCUCUUUAAUUUGUGUCUCCAUUAUUUUAAUCUUUUAGAUAUUGUUAUUGAUUUUGUUUUCUUAAGCCUAUCUGUCCUAGACAUCUCUACUCCAUUUGCUAUUUUGCUUACCACGAGUAGGGUUGUUUGCUUACUUUCUUAUUAAUGUAGAUUGGAAAACUCUAUUCCGUUUGACACCCUAAGUCCUUUGUUUUUCAUAUCAUUAUUUCCUCACCCUAUCUGAAAAUCAAUAACGUUGAAGUCAUACAUGUCACUCGGUUAUUUUGAAAUUCAAGGGAAAAAAAAAAGAAAUAUACAAGUUAGAUUAUAAGAUGUGCAUUGAUUUUAGCCAUAUAGGAGAGGUCAAAAUAUACAUGCGUACAUCUCCUACAAAUUCAGGAUGAUAGAGUUGGUGUCAUGCUUCCCUGCUAACUAAAGUUCGAACUUCUCUUGAGACAUUUGCCUGUCGCACAGAAUUUGCCUAGUAUAUCUUACCCUUCCGUGUUUUUGGCCGGUAAUUACACACACACACACACACAUAUAUAUAUAAAUACACACUAAAUUAUAUUAUAUUCAAAUUGAUUUAUAUUAUGAACAAACAAAUUUACAUUUUGUUGAAAUGCAAGAAAUCGUGUCGGCCCGUUAGACCAGUAAUUGUCCCCAUAUCAGGUUCAGUUGCUUAGCAAUUUGAUAACUCCUUGGAUCAAGGUCCAAAGUGUUCGAUUAUUUGCAGAUUCAAGUGGUAUAUCUUACAAGAUAUAAAAGUACCAAGCUCAAGUACUGUAGCAAUUUGUGGUCCGGUUAUUGCGGUAAUUUUCAUCAAUUUGAGGGGCCUUUGGUUAGGGUGUCUUAGUGGGUUAUUGCAGUAAUUUACACCAAUUUGAGGGCCCUUUGGUUACGGUGGUGCCAAUAACUAUUGUUCAUUUGUUGGUAAUUGAAUGGAGCCAAUAACUAUUCUUCAUUUGUUGGUGAUUGGCUGAUUGCAUGGAGCCACAUUAGACCGGUUAUUGGUGUAAUAUUGACCAUUUCAAGGAACUAAUCGUUCCUAAUUACAAUUAGAAAUAUAUGAUAUAAAAUCAAAUAGGUGUAAUAUUAGCCACACUAGACCAGUUAUUGGUGUUGUAAUGCCCGGUGCAACCCAAUGAGUACAAACAAUUUCACAAUGAUGCACAAAGAUAUAUCAAAUUUAAGCACAAUAAAGAAAACUUAAUUAAAGAGAAAAGAUAAGAAAUGCAAACCAAAUAUCAAUCCAAUAGCCUCUUCAAUUGAUGGCGAUGCUAACCAAGAUGUACAAGUGAAGGUUCACUCCUUCCUCACCCCAAAUACUCUUUGGUUGAGCCAAGAAGUUUUACAACAAUUCUAGUUAACUCUCAACAACCUACACUUGAAAGAUCACUCACCCAAUUAAGAACUAUUUUAUACAAAUGAGGCAACCUUCACCAAGGUUUUACCACUCCAAGUGAUAGGUUCACCUUCACCAAGGUUUUCACUUGAACAACCUCACAACCCAACUUUCCCAACCCCUUAUACAACCAACAAAGAAUCUUUCUACUCAAAAAUCUCACUUGUAAGCUUGUAUUUUGUGUUGGCAAAAGUCCCUUGUCUUCUUGUGCUUUGGGGUGUUUAUAGAAGGUGAGAAAUGGUUUCAAAAGGCUCUCCAACGGUCAAAUAUUAAAUGCUGUCAAAACUAGCCGUUGGCCUGUCGGACGUCCGAGACCUCCUGUCGGACGUCCGAACCCUGCGUCCAAACCACCUGUCGGACGUCCGAAUCCUGCGUCCGAACGUAGGCAGAGAGUCAUCAAAUCUUUGCGAAAUUUCUCGGACGUCCGAUGCGAUCGAUGUGCGUCCGAGGCGUGCGUCCGAUCCUUCCGGACGUCCGAUGCUUCCUCACGAGCGUCCGACAGAGUUUCCUUCUUGAUGUUCUUCAUCCUUUCGGACGUCCGAUAGCGUCCGACAUGAGUGCCCUGUUUUUACUUCUUCUUUUAUGCCACAAGAAUCUGUUCUAACAAAUUACUCGUAUAAAAACAUUAGCCCAAAUCUACAUUUUGGUUUGUUAAUCAUCAAAACCAAGGAUUGAUCGACCAAGGUCAACAGGUGUAAUAUUGGCCAAUUCAAGGAACUAAUCGUUCCUAAUUACAAUUAUAGUGUUAAAAAAAUCAAAAUUUCAAUUCAAAAUGAAAAAUUUAACUAAUUUAACUAUACUUAAACUAUUGACUAGCUAACUAAUUUAACUAUAAUAAAAUCAAAAUUUGAAUUCAAAAUGAAAAUUUUAACUAAAUUAACUAUGCUAAACUAAAACUAUUGACAAGCUAAUAGUAGAUGAUAAUUAGAAUUUAAUUGAGUGUUGACUAGCUAAUUAGAAUUUAAUUAGAAUUUAACUAAUUUAACUAUACUAAAACUGAUGACUAGCUAACUAAUUUAACUAUAAUAAAAUCAAAUUUUGAAUUCAAAAUGAAAAAUUUAACUAAUUUAACUAUACUAAAACUAUUGACUAGCUAAUAGUAGAUGAUAAUUAGAAUUCAAUUGAUUGUUAAAAAAAUCAGAAUUUAACUAUACUAACUUAGUUACUACCUAAGUUAUUAUAUGAGCCUAAAAAUUAGGAUAACUCAUAAAAAAAAAUUAUAACAUAUCAACGGAACAAUAAAAAAUAAAACAAAAUAAUCCUUUCCAAAUUAUCAACAAAAACCAUUUAGGCAUGACAAACCUAAUACAAUUAAUUAUCUCCCCUAUAAGUAUAUUUACUCCAGAUUCAAUAACACGUAUAUCAUUAUUAUAGACAAAUAUUCGCACCACAUGCACAUGAAUUUCCAUUUGGAUACCAUUACAUGCAUUGCAUUAUAAACAGAACCCUAAAAUUAUAGAUGCUAAGCUUAAACCUAGCCAUUGCCUUUUAGUGGGGCUUAUUGAAUCGGGUGCAUGUGAGUGGGUGCUGUUGUCGGUGAUUGCGUGGCGCUAUAUUUUGUAUAUGGUGCGUUGAGUCAUUGUCCAGCUGGCUGCUGCAUGGUACGUUUGGUCAUUGUUGAGCAAAUGCUGGAUUGAUCCGAGGUCGCUGGGUGACUGUGAUGUCAGUUUUAACUCUGUUAUUUUUCGCUUUCGGUUAGGCUAUAGGGAGCUUUCUUCUCUUCUUUCUUUCUGGUUCUCUUCUAUUUAUUAGUUUUUUAUUUAUUCUUUUGUAUGUGUUGCCCCAUAAUAACUAAACCCUGUCACGCCAUUGCAUCAGUAUUACCAUACAACACUCUUCUCAUAAAUAACACCAAAAUUAUAUAUACAUGUUAAACACAAACCUGGGCAGUGCCACGCCAAUGCGUGGCACCCCAAAACUAGUAUUUAUAUAAGUUAGGUUUAUAAGGGGAAAAGAGAAUAGCGAGUUUGAGAAUCAAAUUAUAGAUUUCACAGUCACCAAAUCUUAUUGAGUCCUCGGGACAGGACACGUUACGAGACAAAUUGGUGCCUUUAUUUUUGCCGAGGGGAUAAUUGGCUUUCUAUGAGAGUUUAAAUUUUUUUUUUAUUGCACCUCUGAGCAGAGAUUAGUCUCUUCCCUAAGUAAACAAACAAAUUGACAGUUCCCCUUCUAACAUUUCAGCUUGUGUAUUAGUACGGAUAGAGAAGGAAAAUAGAAUUCUCCAAUUUUACUCAUUAAAUUUUGUCUCUCUGCAGUGUAAGUUUCAGUAAAUCGACAUUCAUAGGUACAUACAGAUCCGGCUGGCAAAUUGUGCGAAGGGAUGUGACAUAUUGCCAUAAAGUGCAGUAACAUUUUCUUUUACGUGUAAAUGCAGAGUCUAGAGUCUCUCUUCGGUAUCAUAUUUUGAAGUUAUAUUCACCAAUUAGAUGGUAAACAUGGAAUAAGUAUUUUGACCUUUAGAUCAUCAUAGUUUGAGUCAUUUAAAAUAUGAAUCAAGAUUAGCAUUGAGAGAAAUAAUUUGGGAGAAUGUUUCCCUAAAGGAUUAUAGAAUUUUCUAUAAAGGUUAAUGUGCGAGCAAGGACAUAGAGAACUUUAAAUAAUUAUAGAAUUUUCAUCAUAGUGUUGAAAGCUCAGUAGUCGGGCCGGGUUGGGGCCUCGGGUCCGGAUCGCAGAGGAUUAGUCGGGCCCAUAAGCAUUGACCCGAACACCCCUGUGUCAAAAAAAAAAAAAAAAUUGAAAGCUCAGUAGCUCCGACCUGAAAUCCUUUGGCACAACAAAAGUAAAAGGCAUAGAGAUGAAUAGGACUUUUCCCCAUGAUUCAAGUUCCAAAGUGUUAGGAGCCUCGAUUGAAGAAGUCUUGAAGAGAAGAGAGGAUGAUUUUCUACUACCUGUUACCCAGGGGAAGAGAGGUAUUUAAUAGGGGUAGCAAUCGGGUGGAGUUCGGAUUGGCGGGUCGGGUUGAGGUCCAAGUAUAACAAAAAAAACUCCUGACCUGCCAAUCCGAAACGGGUCAGGAUACUUGACACGAAUCCGAAAAUUUCGGGUUACGGGUCGGCCAGAAACUUAAUUUUUAUUUAUUAAUUUAUCACUGUAAUUUCUAAUAAAAUUAAUUUUUCACAAAAUUAAUUACAUCAUCAAGUAAUAAAAUUUUAAAUAAAUAAUUUCAAACCAAAUCUAUAAUAAAUUAAAUACCGUAAAAGUGUUUUAUCUCAAACCAAAUAUAAAAUAUAUUAAAACAGCAUAAAAAUAAAAAAUAACAUAAUAUAUUAUUUGUCCAAAUAUAAUAAUUUUAACUCCACACAAGUUAAAUAAAUUCAUUUAAGAUUAAGUAAUUAAUGCCUUUGAAAAAAAAGAAUGAUUUAGUUUAGUUAGAUAAAAUAAUUUUAUGUUUAUUAAAUUAUUUUUAAUUCGUAAACGGGUCAUAUCAGAUCACCACAGGUUGACCCAAAAUCGACUUGUUUUCUUUUUGGGUUCAUCGAGUUCGACCCGAUUCUAACCCCAACCCCCGAAACCUCAACCCAAACCCAUUAAUUUCGUGUUGGUUCGUAUUGUAUUUUCGGGUCGUGUCAGGAAUUGCCACCCCUAGUAUUUACAGGGGAAGAGAGGUAUGUAUACUGGUUGAGGAGUUAUUAGCCAUUGGAAUUAGUUUUCGUAGCUUGACGUUAUAGGAUUUUCCAGCUUGGCACUACUUAUUACCUUAGAAUGUCAAAUUGAUUUAGAAUGUCACAUUAAUCACAUCAUAUCGUUUCUAAGCACUUUGGAUUAACUUCAUAUAUGUACGAGAAACUUAAACAAAUCAAGACAUGAGUUGAAGCCAAAGUCUAUGUGGAGAUCAUAUUAUUCCUUGAAGAAUAAAUAUUGAAAAUUUGCAUGCCAUUUUCUGUCCUUUUUUUAUUCUAUAAUGGCAAAUUGAAAAAUCAAAAAAAAAAAAAAGAAAGAAAGAAAGAAAACCUUUGGCUGUAAUGUAUAAUUUCAAAAAACCUUGGGGAUACUACUGAUUACUUAAUUUACCUGAAGCACCAUCGUUUUCACCUGCUCUGUUUCAAGAAGUUGACUGCGCCAGUUCACGUCGGACAUAAGUGUAAAUUGGCCAAAUAUUAGGGCUAUUUCUCAUAAAUUCGUCUCCUUGAUUUAAGUCUUUAGUUAAUAUUACCCAAUUUUCAAAUAAGGGGAAAAAAAUUAAAUACCAAAACGAAUCUCUCCCCUUUUCAAAUUGUCCCAAUUUCCCUCUUUCUAACGGCUAAUUUUCUUUCUUCCUCUCCCAAUUUCAUUUUCCCCUCUUGUCUCUCUCUCUCUCUCUCUCUCUGAAUCACCAAACCCUAACCCCUGUCCCCAGUCACCCACCUUCUCUCUCACACACUACACACAGUUUCUUCCACACUCUCUGCAGUUUCACUGUGUGCGCGCGUGUUUCUUUUCUUUUGUAUAAUUUUCACCAUUUUCCCCCGGAUAUGAAGCCAAGAAAUACAAUCUUGAAAGAAAACCACAGUCACCAGAGUGAAACGUCAGCGUUUGGCCUUCCGCCUCCGUCGUCUCCAAACCCUAGUUCGAUGAAGCAGAGAAUUCCAGGCGUUUCUGGCAGCAAUAGUAGUGGUCAUCGGAGACAGAAAUCGAGUAGUUCGAAGGAGAAUGCGCCACCGCAGAUGGCGGAUUUGAAUCAAGUUGCUGCGGUGGAGUAUUUCUCCCCGUCAGAUCCAAGAAAACCAUCGCCAUCGCCCAUGACAGUGGUGGCAGCGGCGAAGAUUAGAUCUCCACUUCCGCCUCGGCCUCCGCUUAAGAGGAAGCACAGUAUGGAGGCUUCGGGAUCUGAGAAAGGCCCAAAUCCGGCUUCUACUGAUUCUGGAGUAAAAGUAAGUUCUUAUUUUUUUUCUUUGUUUUCGAUGUUUUUGAAUUAUUAUUAGCUGAAAAAAGUAAGCUUGUGCUUAACUGGAGACUUUGGCUUGGAAUAAAACCUUCAGUCAUAGAAUUGAAUAAGCCUUUUCUUUUCAUGCAGAAAGAAGAUCACCGUGGAGUUGAGGGAGUAGGAGAUAACUCAUUUUAAUUCUAAUUUGUCAGUUCUAAAUUGCUGAUUCUCAUUUUUUUUUGUCAACAUUGUUUUCUGGUUCGCUGAGAUAUUGGAGAAGAUUCCAAAUUAGUUCAGUGGAAGAUUGUCAGUCAACCAGUUAGAUAGUUAAAUCCUUGUUCGGUAUUUUAUUUGCUUAAUCUUAAGUUUGUAUAGGAUUAAUGCUGCAAAAUUCUGGCCAAGUAAUUUGAAUUCUAGCGCUCAGAAACCUUUUUAUUCCUGUAAAGUUUAUAUAGUUGACAUAUUACUUCAAGUUAAAUAUUUGAACAACUUUAAUGCUUGUUUUUUUGUUGCUCUAAUUCUUUUCUCACUAUUGUAGGUUCCUAAAUUUGAUCCUAAUAAUUAAUUGCUGCUUAUUAUUUCUUUGGUGUUACAUAAUCCAGGUUAUAGUGCGAAUGAGGCCACUAAACAAGGAUGAGGAAGAGGGAGAAAUGAUUGUCCAAAAGAUCUCUAAUGAUUCUUUGUCAAUAGCAGGACACACCUUCACAUUUGACUCUAUUGCUGACUAUGAGUCAGCACAGGCAAGAUAUUCAGUUUGCUGAUACUUUUUAUUUGGAAAACUUAGAUAAUUUUCUGAAAAGAAAGUAUUCUUAAUUUUCCUUAUGAAUUUCAGAUUGAUAUAUUCGAGCUUGUUGGAGCUCCUCUUGUGGAAAAUUGCCUUGCUGGCUUUAAUAGCUCUGUAUUUGCUUAUGGACAGGUAUUCUUUAGUUAUUGACUUUUUUCCGCUGCUGCUGCAUCUAUGGAUGUGUUUUCUAUGCCCGAAAUUGCACUUGCUUACGCAUGAUUGAAAUUAGAUGAUGUUCUUUAUAUUAUGUCACUGUGACUUUUAAUUAGUGAUUAUCACAAACUAAAUUGACAGACGGGUAGUGGAAAGACUUAUACAAUAUGGGGACCAGCCAAUGCCUUAGAAGAAAAUAUAUCAAAUGAUCAACAAGGCCUAACACCUCGUGUUUUUCAGCGGCUUUUUUCGCGAAUUAGUGAGGUAAAAGUCCUUCUUCCACUGAAAUUUAAGUGAUUUGUUUCUUUGUACUUCCUGUACUUAAACUAAAUGGAGAUUCUGUUUUUCUGUGUUAGGAGCAAACUAAGCAUGCAGACAGACAGCUCAUGUAUCAGUGUCGAUGUUCUUUUCUUGAGGUUAAGCAACCUUAUCUUGACUUGUCCAUGGAGUGAACCAUUUUCACUAUACUUACUUUGUGACAUUUGCAUACAGAUUUACAAUGAACAGAUAACUGAUUUAUUGGAACCCAGUCAAAAAAACCUUCAGGUAAACAUGUCAAACAAUUCUCUUCCUAUGCAAAGGAGGAUCCAGUUGUUGUAAUUCACUUCCUACUGGUUCUGAACUUUUGUUACCAAUCCAGAUCAGAGAAGAUGUUAAAACUGGUGUUUAUGUUGACAAUUUGACUGAGGAAUAUGUGUCCACAAUGAAGGAUGUAAUACAGCUUUUGAUUAAGGUAUGUUCACUUUCUUCACCUGUUUUCUAUGAUAAAUUAUGAAGAAAUGAAACUUACCAUAUCUGUGGUUGAUGUUAUUUAAGUUAAGAUGAUCUAGAGGCAUCUGAUGGUGUAAAUUGAGGGACAAUUAUUAUUGGGAAACUUGCUAGGAAGGACCAAUUUUCUGAUCACACAACCAUAUAUUGAGUUCUAUCCUUUUCUGAUUGCCAACAUGGGGAACAGAAGUACUUGUAGUAAUAUCCAGGAGUAUCUUACAUAACUUUGAACUAUUUAUUUGCUAUGACUUUUAUUCUGGCAGUUAGAAGUGAAAGAUGAGGAAGACUCUUAUAUUUUCUUCUGAAGUAUGGGUUCUAUUUUUGUCCUUUAGUUAUUCUUUUCCUACUUUGGACAAUUUAUGAAAUAUCAAGGUGAAAAAUGCACGAGUCUUUAGGAAACUUAAUUUACUUUUUUCGGCUAUAUUUUCCUGCAUGUUUAACGUAAAGUAUGCUUUUCGGUUCCUAAAGUAAUAUUUGAACAAUUCUUUUCUAUAUAUGUGCUUAAGUGCAUUAACACAAUCUACGUAUACAUUAUCUCAGUAAAAGAUCUAGAUCUGACUAACACAGAGAAGAACAGUUUGACAAUCUUAGCCUUAGUUAGUAGGUCAUAUCUGGCUUCGGCAUCCUUCAAUUGCAUAGGCUUGUUUAAACCUUUCCAGGGAUGUAUCAUACUAAUUUUGCUGCUUCUUGGGUAUCAUAUUGGAGGAUGAAAAAUAAUCUGCAGCGACUGUUAAUUUAAUGAUUUACUAAAUGUUUGCAGGGAUUGUCAAAUAGGAGAACUGGCUCCACUAGUAUAAACGCGGACAGUUCACGCUCCCAUAGUGUAUUUACUUGUGUUGUUGAAUCACGAUGCAAGGUGAUUGACUCCUGCACCGAGCCUUCGCUCUAUUAUCAUUUCUUUUUCUUCUUUUUUUUUUCCUUAUCAUUUCUUUUCUCUACUAUCAUAUUAUCAUGAUCAGCACUUUACAAUUUAUGCUCUCUGAUUUCUAGCUAUGCGUUGAUUUGUGCAGAGCAUCUCUGAUGGGUUAAGCUGCUUGAAAACAAGUAGAAUAAAUCUUGUUGAUCUUGCUGGAUCUGAAAGACAGAAGCUCACAGGUGCAGCAGGAGAGCGCUUGAAGGAGGCUGGAAAUAUUAAUCGAUCUCUUUCACAGCUGGGGUAAGACUUCGCAAUAUGUUUGUCUUCAGUUCUUGGAUCAUCACUUACAUUGUCAACGUUGGUUCCUUUAAGUUGAGCACUACCUAACCACCUUUGGUUUACUUCAUUUAUCUAUUAUAUUUGUUCUUUAGUUUAAGUGUGUGUCCAUUUGCUACCUUUGGUCUGUCUACAUGAUAGAUAGUACACUGUCAUAACUGUGUACUUUUCCUCAAUAAUAAUAUGUUACAAGCCAAAUUGAGUCUAACAGAAAUCAAUACAGGCAGUGGGCUUGUAUAAAUACAAGAGCUUUGUCCUUGUUCCUUUAUAACUUGUCUAAGGCUUCAUUGAUCCCACAAAGUAAUACAUCUCUGCUACUGAAGCUACUAUUGUGAGAAUGCCCUUGUUUGGAAAAACGUAUGUGGCUCAGCUUAAUAGGAAUUUGAUGCUUAGUUUAUCAUGCUGAAAACACAAUUUAUGGAAAAUAAAUUGUCUCCAUGUGGAAAAUAAAGGCUUUGACAAAAAAAACACAACUCAUGCUUAGUCUCCAUGUGGAAAAUAAAGGCUUUGACGGAUGAACUGUUAACAAAUUUUUGCAAAGGUUAAUUUAUCUCUUUUUCUUCAUUGUUAUUAUUUCUAAUUAUGUCAGGAACUUAAUAAACAUUCUUGCGGAGGUUUCACAGACAGGAAAGCAGAGGCACAUCCCGUACAGGGAUUCCAAGCUGACAUUUCUGUUGCAGGAAUCUCUCGGAGGAAAUGCAAAACUUGCAAUGAUAUGUGCUAUUUCUCCAGCACAAAGGUGUAAGAGUGAGACCUUUAGCACACUAAGAUUUGCACAGCGUGCAAAGGCAAUCAAGAACAAGGCAACAAUUAAUGAAGAAAUGCAGGAUGACGUAAAUGUGCUUAGGGAAGUCAUCAGGCAGUUGAAGGUACAAGGUUUUUCUGCCUUCAGACAUCUUUUAGUGAGAGUGAAAUACAUUUUUAGAAUAGCAACCAAUUACAUAUUGCAACAGUGAGGUUUGGCAAUGCUGAUGCAAUUUCUGUUUUUCCAUGAAAAAAAAAGGAUGAACUGCUGCGCAUGAGGGCCAAUGCAAAUCAGACUAACCAAGAUGGAAAUUAUUCGAAAGGGUGGAAUAUUAGAAGAAGCUUGAAUCUCCUGAAUUUUAGCCGUAAUUGUGCAAUGGCUUUACGUCAUGGAGAUGAUGAUAGUGAUGAGGAAAUGGAAAUUGUUGACCAAGAUGAAGAACUUCGUCUCCAAUCAGCUGGUGAUGAGCAAAGCAUUGGUUUGGAUGUCAACCAACCAGACUCUGUAAUAAAAACUGCUCAGCUUGUGGGCUUUGAUGAUGGAAUGUGUGAGGGACCACAAUGUAAGACAUCUAGUGGAGAACCAGUUCUGGAGGACGAUGUUAACAUGGAAGAAGUAGAUGAACAAGUGGACAAGCACGAAGUCAGUGGUGUAGUAGCAAACUUGCCAGAUUAUUCCAACUCUCAGAAACAAAAUUACGAUAACUGCAGUGAAAGAAAUGCUGAAGAUAAUCUGAUCACCUCACCAGUCAAUGGACUUGACAAAAUUUUGUCUGAACGGCCUAAUGAGGAAAAUGUUGACAUUUCUGUCUGGAGUUCACGGAAUGAUGAUCUAUCAAGAAGACUAGCAGUGGAAGAAACAUCAAAGAAAUUUGAGUUGGACAACAAACUCAACGGCACACCUUGCACAUCUCCAACAUGCUUUGAGGAGGAUACAAAAGCUUCCACUGAUCUCAGCAUUGUCCCAUGCAAUGUGUCUCCACCUCUAAAAUCUCCAACUCCAAGCGUUUCACCGAAAGUUAUUAAUAGUAGUAGGAAAAGUCUAAGAACUUCAUCGACACUAACUGCUUCCUGCAAAGAUUUGGCUAACGAUAACUUGGAGCCGGAACCUCCAUGUUUAUCCUUUGCAAAGCCCUCAAAUAGCAUCUGUCUAAAUAUGUCAGGUCAAAGACGUAGAAGUUCCAAACCAACUCAGCAAUUGGCUGCUAGUCUCCAACGUGGCCUUGAAAUUUUGGAUGGUCGUCAUCACCAAAGUGCAUCUAUGAGGAGGUCCACUUUCAGAUUCUCAAACAGAUUUGCUGAUGUCAAAGGACUUGUGCCAACUGCCAAAGUUGAUGCCGGUGUUCAAACACACAUUUCUGAAACUGAAUCAGUGCAAGAGCACUCAAUUUUGACUUUGUGCAGCAAAUGUAAGAGGAGGAAUUCCCAUGAAGAACUUAAAGAUGCCAAUGAUAGCUCGAAUUUGCAGCUAGUUCCCAUCGACGGACCACAAUCCAGUGACAAGUUCAAGACACAGGUUCCAAAAGUAUGUCAUGAUUUGUAAGGUCUUAUAGUGACGGCUAACAAUUGUGUUCUUCUAUUAUUGCCUGUCAAUUUCACUUCUAUUGUCUUCCAGGCUGUUGAAAAGGUCUUAGCAGGAGCAAUACGCAGAGAGAUGGCACUGGAAGAGAUAUGUGCAAAACAAAAUUCUGAGAUCAUGCACCUUAACCGGCUGGUAGGUUAGGAUAAUAAAUUAGAGCCUUACAAAACUAAGGAGCUUAUUCUUAUUCUUCCCAUUUUGAAUCCUUAACUAGGUCCAGCAAUACAAACAUGAGAGAGAAUGCAAUGCAAUAAUUAGUCAAACACGGGAAGAUAAGAUUUUUCGCCUUGAGAGCCUCGUGGAUGGUGUCCUACCCACUGAAGAGUUCAUGGAGGAUGAAUUAUUGUCUCUGACUCAUGAGCACAAGGUUUUGCAGCAUUUGAGACAUACAUAUUGCAUUUACAGGCAACAUAUUAAUAUGGUCUUCUCUUCUCAUGUAUAUCUUUCCACCUUGUACUUUGUACUUGCAGCUUCUGAAGGAAAAGUAUGAAAACCAUCCAGAAAUUUUAAGGACAAAAAUUGAGUUGAAAAGAACUCAAGAUGAGUUGGAAAGAUAUCGAAAUUUCUUUGAUUUGGGUGAGAGGGAUGUUUUACUGGAAGAGAUCCAAGACUUGAGAAACCAACUGCAGUUAUAUGUAGAUACUUCGCCAAAAUUGUCAAGAAAAAGAAGUCCUUUAUUACAGUUAACAUAUUCAUGUCAGCCUAGCUUGGCUUCAACUUUGUGCACAGCUCCAGAGUCCAAGGAAGAGAGCGCAGAAGAAAGGCUUGAACAGGAAAGGGCUCAGUGGACUGAAGCAGAGAGUAAGUGGAUUUCUCUGGUUGAAGAAUUGAGAUCAGAACUAGAAGUUAGCCAGGCACUACUGGCAAAGGAAAAGCAAGAACUAGAUUCAGAGAAGAAAUGUUCAGAAGAGCUGAAAGAAGCAAUGCGGAUGGCAAUGGAGGGACAUGCUCGCAUGCUUGAACAGUAUGCUGAACUUGAAGAAAAACACAUGCAGCUACUUGCGAGGCAUAGGAAGAUUCAGGAUGGAAUAGAAGAUGUCAAGAAAGCUGCUGCCAAGGCAGGAAUAAGAGGUGUGGAAUCUAAGUUCAUUAAUGCUCUUGCUGCAGAAAUUUCAGUGCUCAAGGUUGAAAGGGAAAGGGAGAGGAGAUAUUUCUGGGAUGAAAACAGAGGUCUUCAGGCUCAACUAAGGGAUACUGCUGAAGCUGUACAGGCUGCUGGUGAAUUACUUGUACGGCUUAAAGAUGCUGAAGAAGCAACUGCUGUGGCUGAGGUGAGUUUGCAAUUUACAUUCUGAGUUGACAUUUUCCUCUCAUUUUUCCUUGGUGCAUGGAUCAUUUCUCCUUGUUUCUCCUUUAUUGGCAUCAUUGGAAGGUACAUUUAGAAAUUGUGCUAAGUUGUCCAGAGUGAUCUAGGCACGCACCAAGUUUCUUAGCCUUCUACCAUGGCUCUUCAACAUUGCCUUUAUUUUACAGUGAGGUUCUCUGGGAGUCCCUUGACCCAUCCAGCAGGAUACUAAUUCUAACCAAAGGGAAAAAAUCCUCAAGAAGAAAGGAAGAAAAGAAAAUGUGACCUUUUUUUCAUCUUUUAUCAAAUGGGUGUUGAACUCUGGAUUAUGAGUAGAUACUAGUGAGGUUUCUUAAUGUGUUUUUUUCUUUUUUCUUAUGCGUUUCUUGUUAUUAGUAUGAUCCUUUUUGAUGUAAUGUGCAUGCAUAAAUGGUGGAGGUGGUGGUGAACUAGAUUUGACAGGAUGAUGCAACAUUUUUGGUGCAUAAUGAACAGAUAGAAUUUACCAAAAAAAUAUAGCGAGUUUUUUUUCAUUGAGGCUAGCUCUUUUAAAUGCAUUAUCAGUGUUUGUGGUUCUUAUUAUUUUACCUAAACAAUACUUCUGCUCCAAAUGCUUUUCUUCCUUCUUUUCAAGCUUGCACCAUUAUCCCUAUUACUUGUACAUGGCUGGAAGCAUAUGACCUCAAGCUAUGGCAGAUUAGGAGGUGCAUCAUCUGUUCAGAGUAGCUUUUCAUUUGCCAUUAUUGAUAUCACAAAAUGAAAAUGAUCAAAAUGCACAAUGAGUGACUAAAUUAUUAUAUGUAUUGGUUUUCCGCACUGAAUUAUUUGUUUUUCCGAAGUGGUCAUUCAACUUCUGAUAUUAAAUUUCUAAUUAUUUCAUCCAAUUUACCUGUUGUUCUUAAUGAAUAAAUAAGACCUUGAGUAGCACAUGGAGCCUUUAAGUGUAAAUAUGUUAAAUAACAUCUGUUCUUCCCCAACCCAAGAUAGUGUGGGAUUUUUUCUUUCCAGUUCAACAAAUGCCUAAUUGGUGCAAAAAGAUUCUGGCAUUUACACUGACCCCAAAAGUAUAACCCACCAGACAUAAAUUUCAUAUUCAAUUUAGAUAGGGAAUUAAUAAUGUCAAACUCCUAGUGGUUUUUUUCUUUUUCUGAUAAACUACCACAAAUUUGAAAAAUGCACUAUAGGCACAUUAAAAUCAGGCGUUGGAAGAAGGAUCUGUGUGUGGGGUUAGUAAAGAAGGUGUAAACGGCAUUGGGUUAAGCUAUUUUCAGAAAGAAAGAGUGAGAACCGGUCAUGAGGCUUUCAGGAAACAGAUUGAGAUUCCUUUGCUGGGGGUUGGUGGACUGGCUGCUGUGAAUUGGUUGGAAGAGAGAGAGAGGGGAUUAAGGAUGCAGGGUAGAGUCGAACGGAUUGCUCUGUUUCUGUGGAUGAAAUGCCUCUCAGUUUCCCUGGAGAUACCAGAACUUGGCAUUGUCAAUUGUUGUGAUGGCUUAAUGUGCACAAGUGUCUGAGUUUCAAUACCAGUUUAGCAAGGAAAAUAAUCAGUUGGUAGUUAGUUGUUCAUUUUGGGCUUGGAUGUUGUUUUCUGGGGACGAGGGAAGGUUGAAUUCGUAUACUGUUACAUUUUCAUCUUACAGGAUUGUGACAUAUUAAGUACCUAAGCUACAUAGUGUUUCCUUUUAUCAUCAGAAUCAUUACGCAUGUUGUUAAUUAGACAUAUUGAUUUCUUUUUUGUGCUGGUAAUUGAUAUUUACCUCCUUUGUUAUAUUUGUUGGGUAUUUGACCUUACUGAUGUUCCCUUCUAGAGAAUACUAAGCUAACAUGCUGCAUGUUUGAGCUCUGAACUUAUUAUCAUUUAUGAUUUGUGGAUUUGAUUUACAUCCACAAUCAUUCUAAUUAAUUUUAUGAAUGUGCAGAAGCGAGCCACAGAAGCACAGCAAGAAACUGAGAAAGCUUACCAAAAGAUAGAAAAAUUGAUGAGAAAACAUGAAGAGGAGACCCGUGUAUUCAAUCAGUUACUUGCAGAUUCUCAUCUACCUAAAGAAGCAGUAAAGCCUGUCUACGAUGUAUCUGAACUGGCAACAGGUGAUGCUGGAGAGACACAGAGUACAGGUGAGCAAUGGCGUGAGGAGUUUGAACCAUAUUAUAAUGCCGAAGAAGAGGAGUUGUCUAAAUUAGAACCAUCUUCAUGGUUCUCUGGGUACGACCGAUGCAAUAUUUAGGCAUCUUACCUUUGCAAUGCCAAUGUUGUAUGUAGUAAUAAUAGCUUUGUUUAUACAGAUCUUAAAGUGUGUUGUUGAUUUACACAUGUAAUUCAAGUUGUCUCACCAAUUGUGAAGUCAAUUACAACUCUGUUGGGAAAGAAGAUAUAAAUGAUAUAUUCCAUUUCAUUCUUUCACUCUUCAGCUCUGUACUUGCUCAUACAUUUCGUAUGCUCUCUGUAUCACACGACAGAGCGAAGCUAAUCAGCAAAUGUGUAGCUGCAUCUGUGACUUUAAGCCUACAUUCAACUUUUUACCAUUAGAAUCUUUACAAAGUUUAGCUCUCAGUGAAGGUGAAAAUGGAGAAAUGGAAUGCUUCAAACAGAAUGCAGUGCUAAUGGACGUGGGAAAGCAAGGCCUUCUGCAAUUUUUGUACCGUGGCGAUUUCUAUAGUAAAAAGGCCUAAGUUCUGAACCAACAAGCUUUGAUUGCACUCUAAUUAUGUGGUCGCUCAGGGCUUUUUAUGAUUCCCCAUAUGAAAGGAAGAAUUUUGUAAAGAGAUUUGAAUGGAUAGGGUGGUCCUAGCAGUACAGGUAAGUGGGCCUGUGGAAAGAUCUCAAAAGCAAAAACUGAAGUUUGCUAGCAGCUUAGAUCAUUUAUUUGUUUGGUUUAUGUGUCAAGAGGAUGGGGGGCAAUCUUCAAGUGGAUGAUAGGAGUAUUCUUGGCUUCUAAGCGUGAAGAAAAACUAUGGAAACCGAAUGCAGACAGGCCACAAGUACUUGUUCACUUCGGCAGCCUCCUGAUUGUAGGAGUCUAUCAUGUCAUGAAGACCAUAAGACAAGAGGCUUGUGGCAUUGUCUUCCAUGACUAGUAUCUCUCCCUACCAGUGGACCAUCUGAUCAGAGGCAAAUUAUAGCUAAGAGAAGAUGGGAAAAUGAAGCAGACGAGGGCAAUUCAACCCGAGCCAUUCAAUUCUUGGAUGGGAAUGAAAUAUAUCCAAUUUUCCUUUAUUGCAGGAGGACAAGAGAAUAACCUGUCAUACCCUGAUUCAAUGGUGGAAAUGGUUUUGAAAGUGAUAUUCUCACAAUGCCAACCAUUACACUCCAAAGGAAGGAAGAAAAAAAGAAAAGAAAAAAGUGUUUUGUAUAUGAAUAUAUAGAGAUCUUUGGUGAAUCAAAUUCUGGCAUACCCCACAUAUGAGUUAGGUGAUGCAAAUAAUGAAUGUAACGAAUAUCUGUCAAGGCGAGGUUCGUGAUAUUGGUAAGGGCCAUUCUCGGUCUACGGCCGUAGACAAAUUUAAUCUUACCAAUUCCCUGCAUCUGAAUAUCAAAAAGUUUUGUUCACAUUCUUGGAAUUUUAAUUUUAGACCUUUCAACUUAUGAUGUACAUGCACACAAUACAAAAGAAAGAACAUUAUCAGUGUAUAUCCUAUCACGAUUGGAUACGUGACACAUGAGCUAAUUUCAAAUUUUGUACAUGUGUUAUAUAUCUAAUGGUGAUGAUAGUGUGUACAUUUAUAGUGUAUAUAAAAUUAAUCGAUACAAUUUUGUGAAACUACUAAUCUGUAGAAAAAUUUACUUUGAUGGGUUAUUCUAAUGAAACCCAGAACUUGAUUCAAAAAAAAAAUUCAUAAGAGAGUCAUGAUCUUUAUCUAAAUGUCAUUCAGAAGAUUUAAUAAAGGCACAUUGCAUAUUUGCUGUAAUUUCAGACUUGUUGUGGGAAAAAAAUUUUGCAUGCCUAUUGUAUAGUAUUAAUUAGCUGAUGAUAUCAAUAAUGAAGAUUGAGACUUCUUCCUGCACACAAAUGAUUCUUGCCAAAGGACAGCAAACUGUACAAGAAAAUGAUAUAUAGUAUGGUCCAAAAUCAUCAUCUUUUGCAGCUUAAAUGUGCAUUUGCCAUGCCUUUUGAUAUUUUGUUUAGCCCAAAAAUAUCAUAUCCCCUGUUUAGUACUUAUAAAAUUAUCUAAUUUUUUAAACGGGCCAUGUAAUUACUAGUUCUAGAGGGUUUGGAGAUCUUGGUGAGAUUUGACAGAAUAUAGCACAAUAUUGUAUAAAGUUGUGUGAUAAUUACAUUACAUUACUGAUUACACUACAUUACUGUAAGAAAAUUAACUGCGGUAAUUUUAUAGUAAAAACAAAAUGAAAUAACACAUCAUUGUUGCAAAUUCACACACUAGUUAAACAUGAUGGUAAAGGAAUUACUGCAGCAAAUCACACACUAGUAAAACAUGAUGAUAAAGCAGUUUACUCUCACCAAAACUUCAAUUAUGGUCUUUUCAAGGCAUCUAUUUGUUAGUUAGAGGCAGUUAAUUAUUGUUGAGUGGGGGCUGCAUGAUCUGAUUUGUGAAAUCAAAAUGAUGAUGAAUGGUUUUUCACAGCCUGUCUUUCCUCUCAUCCUAAUCAAAAUCAUACCAACCAGUGUUAAGGCCAAGGCUUCUUAAGCUGAAAGAAAGGGACAUAAAGUGAAAAGGGUGGGUGUGAUAUGUACACCAAUGUGAAGAAGAGUGACAGGCUGGAAAUUGGACCCCCUUCUAAUGAUAAGUUUAUUUUUAACCCCACCAAGAGAACACAUUCCAUCCUACCCUCUAUCAAUGUGGACCAAUUUUCUUCACAAUGUCAGGAGUAAAAUCAGGGAAAACCAUAAGAAAAUGCAAGUCCUUGAUGUUGAAGUCAAAAAUCAACUGUUUUUUGCUCUGUUGAUUUGUUGUUAGGUUGACACCCUCAAUAAAUUUGAUAAAUUUGACUGUAGAUUUUCCUCUCCUGUUUUUGUUUUCACCAACCAUAUUGACUUUUUUUUUUUAGGAUUCUAAGAGGAGAUUCAUUACCAUACUUGCCAUCCUUUUAUUGCCUUUUUACCUUGACUUUCUUGUUGAUGGGAAUCUUGUCUAACCAAUCCACUAGCCUCUUACAAAAGUUAAUAAUUACCUGUGGGUAGAGAUUAGAAAAACUUUAGGAAAAAUUAUCAAAGAGUAUGAGAGAAAAGAAUUCACUUAUUCUCUUAGGUUAUAUAGACAUCAUACACCAAUUACUUCUUUCUGUCUGUAAAAUCUAGGGAAUCCAAAACAAACAAACAAAAAAAAAUGUUAGUCCAAAUUGCUGGUGUAGCUGUCUUCCAUCAGAAAUUUCUAUGCUGGGCUAAAACCAAUUGUACUCUCUUCAAGGUUUAAAGAGAAAACACAUACUAAAAGGAAACUUCUGGUAAAUCAUUGACAGUUGAGAUGUAUUUAUCAAAUGUUUGGACAACUUUCUAUCUAAUCUGUCCUCAACAAAAUUUGGAUUAUCAUUCCACUUGAACGAACAAUUACUGAUAGUGGGCGUAAGUUUUCAUUGUAAAUAGCUCUUUCAAAAUCGACUUUGCAAAAUGGCUUUAAGAUACGAAAAAUACGUUUGACACUAAGAAUAAUUUCAUACUCUUGGAAACUUUUUUUCACUAUUUUUCUUUAGUUCACAGAAAUUAGAUCAUUUAGGGAGAUUUUUUAUAUAUUUUCUGUAGACACAUUUUCUAAUCACUUUUUGAUCUCGUAUAUCUCAAAUCGUUACAGUAUAUUUUUCUGUAAAAACUUCAAAAAAUAGCAAUCCAAACGGGAUCUCGCCUUUUCUCAUUUUCAGUUGGUAAUGGUAAGAGGGUAGAGAAACAAAAAGGAAAAUUGAGUACGUGAUUAACCACAAAAAAAAAAACCAAUAAAAAAAAGAGUGAAAUGGGCUGGAAAAAGAUGGGAAUAAACGAACACAAUAAAAUUUCACAGAAACUGUGCAAAAUACUAGACACUGUUUUUUUGGGGUUUCUUCAAAACAUGGUAUCCUUUUCUUUUCCUGUGGUACAAAAUGCAAUUUUCAUACAAAAAGCAACUUUGUAAGAAGAACAUAUUCAUCAGUCUCCAAAGAAGUCAAGGUAAAGGCUGCACAUUAUUUUUCUUGUCAUUUAUAAAAGUUUUUUUUGGUUUCUUUGGCAGCCCCUUAAUGGAGGAAAGGUUUUGUCUAAUCUUUAAAUAGUACCUGUCUCCAUCUAAAAUCCACUACUUUAUUCUUCUACUUAUCCACUGAACUUUCUUUUCCAUUACUUUGUAAAGUAGAUUGAUUUUCAAAUGUUCUCUGAUUCCUUGGCCAAGUCAUAACUUCAUUACUGCCAACCUGGAUUUACAAUGCUCCCAUCCAUCAUUCCCAUUAUAAAACACCAACAAAAAGGUUACUUAGGAAAAAAUCAACUAUCUUUGCUGUCUUGUACCAUUUAUAAUGUUCUUUUAUUCUCAGAGGGUGAAAAUUCCCCUCCAAGAACUGUCAGAGGUGUGCACUAAAUUAACCCCUCAAUCAUGCAAAGUAGAAUAAUCAUGCACAGCCAUCACAAAGAAACAAAUGUUCUUGGCAUCAAUUGUCCCAAGAAUGUCAAAAGUGAAUGAUUGAAUUCAAAUCUUCUUUUCACCAUUUCAGUAUCAGUAAAAGAUGGGCUUCUUUGUCUUAAUUAUGGGCACAAACACAAGUCCAAAUGGACAAAGUCUCCACAAUCAGCGAGAUUAUACGAAAAACCCAAGUAUUUCUUCUUCUUUUUUUCUCCUUUUAACCUUCUUCUUCCCCCCUAAUCCCUCCCUACCCCAAAUCCUGACAGCCAAGUUUGAAUCCUGAUCUGUCAGAUGGGACGAAAUCCAAGUAUGUCAAUAGGUGAAAACAUUCUAAAUUUCUAGAGUGACUAAAAACUAAUGGACAAGUAUGGUUAAAUUCAAGUACUAUUAACUCUUAAAUAAUUGAGUGUGUUUGGGUACUAUUAACUCUUAAAUUCAAGUACCAUUAGCUCUUAAUUAAGUUAGGAAAGUUGAGGGACUAGAUAAAGAAGAAUAAUGUCUGGUGGGCACAUAUGAAAAUGAAUAAAAGCCACAAACUUGUAGGGUACUGGCAUAUAAUUUAGCCUCUCUUCCAUCCAAGAUGACACUUGAAAGUUGAGGCCAGGACACUAAAAAUCUUCAUCAGAUUAGACUACAAACAGUGAAUUAGAGGGGUUGUCAAAGUGCCUUUUGGGUCCAGCUCAAGUGUAGUACAACUAUUACAACUACAAGUACUGUCAACAUAUAACUUAAAUCAACCAACUGGACUCAAGUGACAAUUUGUCCCCACUAACAGCUGGUUACAAAUAAGAAUCCAGUCCUCCACAAGUCACGCGAUUUAAGGUUAAAAUCAUAUAUUAUUAUGUCCUACAAGCAAAACUUUUCUUGAUUAAGACAUAUGCUGGGGAAAAAAAAAUAUUUAAAGCAAUACAGGAAUUCCCAUCUGCACCUAUCUGUCACCACUUAAUUCAUAUUGACAAUAAUGAAAUAACGCUUUUAUGAUGAUAUCUUUUGUGGUUUAUUUCCAUUCGAGGAUAAGGUCCAACAAGAAAGCUUUAGGGUCUAAUUUUGCCAAUUAUCCACCCAUAGUAGUUACACUUGCUAGGGUUAUUUAAAUAGGUUCCAAAUGGUAUGUCAUUAGUGCAAUUGAACUUGCUGUUUAAAUGCAAAUGCACACACUUUUUUUUUUCCAUUUAUAUGUAGACAUUUUGCCAACUUAACUUCAAUUAUCCACCUAUAUUAAUUAAACUAGCUAGGGGUUAUUCAAAUGGUCUGUUUUUAGUGUGCCAAAUUUGUUUUUUAACUUAAUUGUUUGAAUGCAAAUACUCACACCUAUUAUCCAUUUAUAUUUAGGCAUUUUGCCUAACUUAAGUUUAAUUUUUUUAAAAAAAAAAAAGCUAAUAAUAAUGUUCAUUUUAGGCAUAUCCUCAAAAUUCUUAUAUAUCCCACUAAAAAAAAUUAAAAGUUCUUGCACAUAUCCUCAAAAUUAAAUUUUUGUCCCCCUAAGAUAUUUGAAAUCAUUUUAUCUCCCCUUAAAAUGUCAAAAGUUUUCAGUUAAAUCCUUCUAAAUAUUAUGCUUUACCCCUGAAGUUCUUUGCAAAAUGCAAGCAUGCCCCCCAUUAAAUACAACUUCUUUUACUAGUUUUGCCUUCCCAAAUUUCAACCUCUAGUUUUGCCCUUGUUGACAAACUAGCAAAUAACUCUAUCCAUUUGUGAGUAAUCUAGGUGAUUGCUAUAUUGUUAGUUGGUUAAAAGUAACUGAUUACUGCUCCCAAAUGGAGGUAAUUAGCAGCAUUAUCCAAAACAUGAGGCUUUGUUAAAUUGUCUUGCGAAAUUGAGCGCAAUUAACAAAGCAAAAUCAGAAUGGGGAUUUCUUUCUUCUUCUUCUUCUUCUUUUUUUCAAAAUUGACCUCUGAUGAGACUAGUGAUUUUUCAAGACUGAAGAAAUAAAUGAAGAAAUGGAAAAAAAAAGAAAAAAAAAAGAGCAACAAUCAGGGAGAAGCAAAGGAGGGAAUAAAUGAUACAUUACAAUAAAUAAAUUAGUCAUUAAAUUCUGAAUGGUAAGAGAACAUGUAAAAAAAGGUUGCAAUAAUAGGAUACAUAAUCUAGCUCCCCUCUUAUCUGCCCUUCAACACAAUUCUCACCAUGCUACAGCAUGUUACACUGGCCACUACAGUGCAAUUAGUUCUUGAAUUUUACAAGGGAAUGUAAAUAUUCUCCAAAAAAAUAUAUCUGAUGAAAUAAAUAGCCAGAUACAAAAUCAGAAUGGAGGAGAAAAAUUGAUUUUCUCUUCAAUUGGAUCCAGUUUGUUUGAACUGCCACAUAUGCCUAUGUACAGAAGCCUCUCUCACUCGGGGCUUCAAUUGAAAUCAAUAAUGCUGAUAAAUAUCUUUCAUAGCUCAACCUUCAUUUGAGCUGUGGGCAUUAUACCUGCAAUUUAACAAGCCGCAGAUUAAGAAUUUGCAUUCAAACUAUUCAAUCUUGACUUGACCAUGUAAAUUUGAGAUUUUGUUUCUUAAAGAAAAGCAUCAAAUCAAUUAACUAACCAUGAAAAUUCUGUGUCUGAUUUUGGCCAAAACCCAUCUGGACAACAGUAUGGAGAUCGUCCUCCAAGAAAGAUGGAAUCUGAAAAACAUUAAAUUGACCAACAAUUUUUAGGAAUCAAGAUCACACAUUUCUUCAUUCUCUUCCAGUGAAGAAUUCCUUCAUUACCUGAGAAGCUGCUUCACCAAAAUUAUCCAAAGGUGGCAAAUGAAUGCCUUGAUUUCGACUGAUAGCAGCAUUCAGAUGGUUCAUUGAGAAGGGAACAUCUUGGCCAUUAGGAAUGGCAGCACUUGGCAAAUUUGUCCCAUUUUGAGGUUGCAUUGGAUAAGGGAAUCCUGCUGCUGAGGCCUCUGAUGAAUACAUGUUAUGAGGUAAAGAUCCACGAGAAUGUAGGACCUGAAUUUGAAUUUGUUAUAAGAUGAAGAUGUUUAAGGGCAGAUUCUAAAGUUGAAGUUUACGGACAGAAAAAAUGUACCGAAAAAUAGUACAACUUACAUCCUUGGAUACAAGUGCUUCUGCAUUAAAUUCCAUUCUUGGAUUGAUUGUUGCUAAUUUCAUUGAAAGAAACUGCAAGAUCAUAACCAGUUCAACAGGUUAGAAAAAUUCAAGAAAGAUCUUAUUCAGCAAAACUCAGCAUUAUUUAGUUAGGAAUCAGGAUAUAUAAUUCACCUCAACUUGGCGUUGCAGAGAUUGGACAUAGUUUAUGAUCUCAUCAAGCAUAACAGCUUUUCCAGUCACCUAUAACGGAAGUUCAAGAAACUAUUUAAAAUUCUGCACUUUUUACUGUUUUUGUCAGAAAAAUCUGAAGUACUAGUGAUUUGUUUCCAGAAAGCUGCAAAGUUAGCAUCCUCUGAAUUACCUUAUUGCAACCAGGCACAAGAUCUUGUAAGAGCUUCAUUCUUUCACUGAUUUUCUCUCUUCUAACCUGCAAGGUUAAGAUCCAAAAAGUGAUCAGUAAGUUGAGAUCUGACAACAAAAAGAUUCGAGUAAAAAUGGUUAAAAUAUCAUUAUUGGUAUAAUUCAUACUCUUUCAGCUAGGCUAUGUGCAUCAGUAGCCUGGCCCCUUCUGGCUCUAACAUGAAUAUAGUCCUUAGGGGCCUCUGGUGGCUUAGAAUUCUCCUUGUUUUGUUUCUGAUUUCCAUCCCCUGCAGCUUUGUCAGUGCCAUUUGUGUCUGCCAUGGCUUUUGUGGCAUCUUUUUCAUCUGCAUUUUCUUCACCUGACUUGCUUCGUUUUGCAUUUGAUUCAUUACUUUCAGAUGCACCCUGCAUUUGAUAAACUCUAUUUAGUUUCCAAAAGCAUAGUGAAAUAUACAAAAUUGAAGAAUUCAGUAAAGAAGCUUUCAUUACAUUGGCAUCUUUGGCAGAGUUGGAGGAAGAGGGUGGUUCUUUUGCUUUCCCCCUAGCAAUUGACUUCCUCUUCCUGGAAUUGGCAUCAUUUUGGCCAUUGUUGCCAGUUUCCCCAGUUGUGAUCUGCUCGGAGACUGAAGAAUUCUCCCUGGAAUCACCAAAUUCUGUGUUUUCAGGUGUCGAAGACCUUGACAAUUUACUGAAUUUCCUAUCAGAAGCUGAGAUACCAUCCUGCAAAGAGCCAUCUUUGCUGUCUUGAACAUCCAAUUGAGAUCCAGAAUUAACCUUGAUGGACUGAUUACUUGAAACUCUGGAAAGCUUUCCAGAAUCCAACUUCUGCACCAAUCUGUUUUGCAAUUCAGAAUCAUUCAGUGGUCCAAUUUGGCCAUUUAGGCCACCUAAACUCUUGUUGGCAAAACAAGAGAAUCUUGCAGCCCUCUCAGCAAAUCCGGGAUCCGUUGGAAAUGGUGCAAAACUUGAAUGAGAAGGCAAAUGGUGGCCAGGAAUUGGCAAGUUCCCUCUGAUCUGGUGAUCCAUCAUUGACAGGUUGAGCUUAGGAGGGGAAUUCAGAGGAGUACUAUAGCAAGAAGUAUUAGUACUAUUAUUUCCACCUCCCAGAUAAGACUGAGGUGAAAUUUCACCAGAGUUGCAGAUGCUGCCUAAUCGACCAAUUAGUUCUCUCAGCACAACAUUCUCACCUCCAUUACUACUGCCAGGAACUCCUCCUCCUCCUCCUCCUCCGGCAGCAUUCGACGCAGCUGGAGACGACACCAUUGAGCUCAAUGCAGACUCAAAGGGAUCAUUCUGAUCCAAUGAAUUGUCCCAACUGGGAUUAAAAAAGCAAUUCUGAAACUGCACUUCUGAGCUGCUGCAAUUCAGCUCAUUGUUGUGAAAUCCUCCAAUUCCACUCCCAUAAGGCAUUUGAAAAUUCUCCCUCUCCAUAUCAAGAAUCCCAAACAAAGACAAUCCAGCAGUUUGUUACUUAUUAUUAGUACUUCAGUUAAGGAAGAAUAUAAAGCAUAAACUGUCUGAAUGUGAUGUUUUCUUGGAACGAACAAGGUAACAGAAAGUGAUACUAAAGCUGAAGUUGGAAGGAAAAAGUCGAUAACUUUGUUCUUUAAAUCCACUCAAAUGAGAAAAAGAGUAGUAGUAGAUGGUUAAUAUGUGCUGAUCAGAGCGGAAAAAGCAGGGGAGAGAAAGCAAGAGAGAAAAGGGUGAGAUUAAUGGAGGAAAGUGAAGGGGAAGCGAGAAAGAAAGAUAAAGAAAAGAUUUGUCUGUUUGACCUUUUUUAUUUUAAGAACUAAUUAAAAAAAAAACCAUCCUACAAUUAAUGCAUUUGUGUGUUCUGUACAAAGUAUUCAAAAGAAAAAGAAAAAAAAAUCUCCUCCGAAGACCUCCGUAAUGGGCGGUGGGGGUGGUGUAAUAUUACUGUAAUGCCGGGCCGUAAAUGUCAAACUAGCUGAUGUUGCCUCCGUUAUGGUGAUGAAAGUUCUGUAUUUUCUUGAGUCACAAUGCCUUGAAACCUAAAUAGCGGCCAUGCCAUGAGGGUAAGGGAGCACAUAUUCAUCCUUUUCGGCCCGGCUGUGGUUCUGGUCGGGCUGCAUGCAUCUAGAAUUAAUUCACGUUCUCAAUUCAUGAAACUCUGUUUAUCUACUGAAGUUGCGUGUAUCUAAAACUCCACUUAUCUACUCAGGUUGCAUGUAUCUAGAACUAACUCAUGUUCUCAAUUCAUGAAAUACUGUUCAUCUACGACGAUCAGUAGUAACAAGACAUAAAUUUAAAAUCUCGAGAUAUAAAUUGAUUAUUUAUCCUGCCCACGGUCAAUAGUAGCAGUAGCAAGACUUAAAUUUAAAGUCCCUUUGAUGUAAACUUUUUUCUAUUUUUUGUCUGUGCACAGGCAACAUUAGUAGCAAAAUUUAAAUUCAAGAUUUCUGAUGUAAAUAACUUUGGUUCUUUAUCGUGUUAACGAACAACGGUAGCAGCAGAAAGACUCGAAUUUAAGAUUUCUUGACGUAUACUUAUUUCUUUAUCCUUUCUGUCUGCCUUUGUUAUAUGAGUUUGUUUGUUUUGUCUGGUUAUUAGGGUUUUUCCUUUCUUCAUUUUUUUUUAAUGAGAGGAAAGUGACAGGAAAGAUCAUUUGAGCCUCUUUUUAUUUUUUAUUUUUUUGGUUGUUUUUUCUUCUGUUUUGGAGGUGGUUUUGUAAAUCAUUACUUGCUUUGCUUUAUACUAACACACUGCUAUGUUACACUGCCACAGUUCUCAGUAAGAUUGGUGUAAUCAAUGAUUAGUGCACAGUUAAUUAGGAUGAUUAGUGUAAAGAAGUGUUUGAUUAAUGGUUUAAAAAUAGGGUUUUGUUGUUUGUUCUUGUGUUUGUAUCUGUGAGAGAAACACAUAUAGUGUGAGAGUGAGUUGUGUCUGUGUGUGUCCCCACCAGCUUUUGGAAGUAUAGAUGCAGUGUGGAGAAAGUGAAAGUGCAUAUUUAAAUAAACUCUCUUUUUUUUUUUUUGCCCAUUUUAACUUAUUGUUUGUUUCAUACUUUGUGGCCUUCUUUUUUUUUUUUUUUUUUCUUCUUAGACUAUUAAAAGAACUCCAAAAAAAAAAAAAAAUGAUCUGAGAUGGCCAUAUUAUAUAAUGGGGUAAUGAGAAAAAAAGGAAUCUAGAGGGUUUCAAAGGCCCCACAAUUACUAAAAAAUAGAUAAUGGCAGAAAUGUGAUUCUUCUAAACAAGUUGUAGGAUACAGCUAUUGUUAGGAAUGUGCAGUUGAUAAUAUUAAAGAGUUCAGAAAUGUAAUUGUCAUUCUUACGUUCCUGCUCAUGUCAGAUGCAUUUGGCAUUUUGUUGAUAUCACUUCCAUUCUUUUACUGCCCCUUUUUAAGUAGUAGUAGUAGUAGAAAAUGCAGACAAACAACAGAAGGUUAUUUAAUGAGCAAAACUACCCAAUGAUCAAUUAGGGGUAUGUUUAGUAUCUAAUAAUAAUUACCCAAAGAUUAAGAUAGAAAUUUGAUUUUUUUCCCCCCCCGAAAGGAUUAAAAUCUAGAUUGGACCAAUCAGACCAGUUCGGUUUAAAAAAAAGGGGGGGGGGGACUAACUCUACUUUGCAUCCGAAAUUUCAAUUUUAGACAUUUUGUACCAUAAAUUCUUAAAUUUAUCGGAUCUAAGUCUAAUUAAUGACAACGUUAGCAAAUUAACGGUAUAGAAGACCCUACGAAUCAAUAAUAAUUUGUUGAAAGUGGUCAAAGGAGCCAAUGCAUAGCAGAUAGAACAAAAUGAUAUUUUGCAAUUAAUUUAUACGGUCUUUUAUUUCAUUGAUUUUACUAAUAAUAUUAGUAAUUGGGAUGAUAUAAAUGAAUGAUAACAUGCUGAAAGUGAUCAAAAGGAACAUGAGAUCGCAAUUAGAACAAAAUGAUAUAUUGUCAAUAUUUUACAGCGUGCUUUGUCUCGUUAAUAUUGCUAGCAUUGUCUUCGAUUAAAUUUGAAUAGGUCCGAUUAAAUUUGAAUAGGACAAACUUGAAAUUUAGGUGUAAAAUGUCUAAAAUUAAGAAUUUAGCAUGCAAAAUAUCUAAAUCAAAAUUCAAAAUAUAAGUAAAAAAAAAAAAGAUACAAGUUCAGAGGUGGAAAAUGAAAUUAGUCUGAAAAAGAAAUCACCAGACCGGUUUGACCCACCAAUAUGAGUGAAAAGAAAAGAACACUAGGAUAGUCAAGCAACACGAAACGAAAGACCAGAAGAGAAGCACUAAAAAUAGCUGGUGACAGUAGUAGAAGUAAUGAAUAUAAAAGCACAACUCUUACAUGUCUGCAUGUAAAUAAGACUUUUUACAAAAAUUCCACAAUGAGAUUUUAGUUGAAAAAUUUGCAAUCUAUUUACACCUGCACUCAACUGCAAAGGCCCCUCAUCCAGGAAACAUCAACGCUUCUUCAAGAAAUUCUGAGUAAUAACAUUUGUGUCGGGUCGGCAAGUCAGUCGGCAAGCUCAAGAAAUUGAAGCCAAAACGUUGAUUUAUGAUUUGAUUCUUACGCGGAUUGAUCAGAUGCAGCUGUUCUACAUCAUAUAAUGAAUGAAUCAGGGAAUGCUAUUCUCGACUUUGAAAAAGGAUUGAAGCCACUUUUAACGAUUUCUGGGCAUUUUGGAAGAAAUCUUUAAUCUUUCUGCAACAGUUUUGAUGGUUGGAAAAGCACAAAAAAUAUUAUACUUGUAAAAUUGAUUUGCAUUCUAGUAGUAGUUAUCACUUUUGGUUCAGGACAACUAGAAUUUAAAAUUAGUGUCAUUCUUUCUGUUAUUGUAAAGAUAAAGUGCACUUGGUUUUCUUGAUUUUGAGUUAGUGCCAUUUUAGUUCUUUUGACGGUUGUGAUUUUACCAUAAUUUAAAGUAAAAAAAAAUGUACGCAUCGCUCCCAUUUUAGCCAAUUUGACCCACAACGGAUCUUCUGUUCUACUCUCUGUUCCACUUUUUAUUCUAUUGUAAUUUUUUCUUUAUGAACAUCAUAUUUUAGUUCUUUUUUAUUUCCUUAAAAUCGAAUAACUAUUAACUGAAUAAUACACAAAAUUUAACCAAGUAAUAGUAAGAAUUUGUCACACAAGUGCCAAAUAGCUGCCUUUUUAUUGUGCACAAUUUACUAUUUCACACUCGAAUUUUAUUGUUUAUUUAAAUUUAAAUAUUUUCUCAAAUAAUUGUAUUUUUUUUCUUUUACUCAAUAUAACUUUAUCUUUUCAACAUACUAACACUUGGUGCCCUUGAGGUCGGUGCCUAUUCGGCUGGACAAAUCCAAUUUCAAUACGUGGUGGAUACCAAUUGAUGAAGUGGAAAGCUUUGAAAGGAAAAAGCAUCAACAAUUAACAACCUUUCCUUUUUCCUCUCUCUAUUUCAUUCAAAAGUUAAAAGUAUAACGCUUUCAGAAUAAAGCUUCCAUGUAAGUUGAAAAUGAUAAAUGUGGCCACUUAAUUUGGAGUAAUCUAAAGUCAUUAAACCUUAAUAAUAUCUACAUUAUUACAAUAGGAACCAAAUCAAUAGAGAGAUUCAAAGAAGUAUUGCAUGGAGAAUGAGAAUCUACCAGAAUUAAUGGCUCACAAUCGACCAUAGCUUGUAAAUGCUUUAGUUUCAAGAAUUUGUCCAAAAGAUUGUUAACUUAAUUUUUCAAUAUAAGGGAAAAAUGGAAGAAAGAAAAUUGAAGUAACAAAUUUAUGAGCCUUAAAUUCAAAUUUAUAAUUAAGUGUUCAUAUCACUCAGAGAAUUUAAUUUAAUUUAAUUUGUUGUAUAUAUUUGUGAGAGAAUAUUAGUUACUACAUAAUGUAAAAAACACAAAAAAAAAAAAAUUUACUUCAAAAAAAAGUACUUCAUAAUGCAAAACAAUCAAUUACCUCACAAGGAAUUGCAUAUCGUAGAUGAUAAUAUCUUUUAAUCCAAGUAAGACUCUUAAUGAAGUUUUAGAUGUCUGACCUUAUGAAUUCUUAGCUAACUUGGUCAAUUAUUCUGUUUUACUUAAUUAAUCUCCGAUCCAAAGGGAAAAAAAUAAUUAAAGAAAGACCAGGAAUUUGCUUUUAUUUUUCAUUCUAAGAUGUGUACUUCUUCAACAUGACAGUCAAUUCCAGCAAAUACAACUAAUUUAGGUCCGAUAUAUAUAUUAAUAUCACAUGCAUCAGUCGUUUAUUUAUUAACAAAGUUUUGCAAACCAAAAUUGACCCUACAGAAUCAGGAAUAAAUCUCCGUACAAUAAUUACAUUUCAAUUUUGCCUUAAUAUCUUAUGAUUUUCUUCUAAAUAUAUAUAUAAAAAAACUUUAUACUCAAGCUAGAAAAACAAUUUAAGAACUUGGGUAAUAAUUUUAGAAAAGUUAUUGAGUUUGAACAUUCACCUAGGUUAAAUCUAAGAAAUUAGUUGUGGCAAGUUUCUUUGUUAGGUUGAUUAAGAAAAUACAAGAGACCGAGACAGCCAAAGACAAUUGUUCAAUGGAAAUUUAAAUCUGAAAAUAGCAAUAUUUCUCUGCAUUGAGCCAUCAUGGCACUGGAUAAAAAAUUAAAAAAAGAAAUAAAUUUUCUAUAAAAUUUCAAAAUUACCAUUCACUCCUCGAUUAAGCCCUGCUAAGUUCAUUGGUCCAGACAAUUUUUUCAUUUACCAACAGAAAAUUUGGAGCUAUUUUCUAGAAAAAAUAACAUUUUUUUUGGCAGAAAGAGUGACCCCAUAUAAAAUAUAAGAGCCCGAUACCACAUUGGAAAUUGGACAUAAUAAGACAUUGUAUACAGUUUUUUAAAAUGGGAGGUUUUGAAUUUAAGAUCAUAAUUCCUCCCAUCUUACUAUUCAAUCUAACUCUCGUCAGACAUUAUAUGCGCUUAUGACUUCUUUAUCUGAAAAUCCAAAAUCCAUGCCUCUAAUUACUAUUUACAAUAGCAACCCUACUAAAUUUCCCUUCUACUUUAGAUGGAUGAUUUCUUUUGUUACAUCUUUAUAUGCUUAGAUGUAAAUUACCUUUGUCUACUAGCAUAAACUCAUAAGAAUUCAGAGUUCAAAAUCGGGUAAAGCACCAACACUCCUUGUUAAACUCAGAAAGCUAAUUAAUACUUCUGAAAUUUUACCCAAGUUUUUUCUACUUUUGGCAAAUCUAUACAUAGAGAAGGAAAGCAAAAUAGACCACCCAAAAAAAAAAGGCAAAAAAAAAAAAGAACUACAAAAUUAAGAUGGAAGAAUUUGGAGCUAUUUGCAAUAGGAACAAAACAUUCAGUCCCAGAAAUAAUUUAUGCCAAAGAAAUCCAUGCAUGCAUGUAGGUAUACAUAGAUGAGUCCAAAUUCCCCAAAUAUAAUAAAGGCACGAUCUAACAAACCUCCUAAAUAUCACUCUACUGCCACCUCUUUCCUUCCCUUUCCUCUGUUGACUAGCUAGCCAGCCACACUCUUCCACCGCCCUCUAUCUACUGGUCCAUUGCCCCCUCCCUCAAUGCAUAGAAUAUGCAAAUUUGAAUAAGCAUCAUCGGUGGCUUGUAUAGUGUGUGUACUGUGUGUGUGUGUAUAAAACCCAAAUGUAAUGUAAUAAUGAAGAAGUACACAGAAAGAACUGGCAAAUGGUUUUCAUGCAUCCCUGAUUUAAUUAAUUUAUUCACUUCAACUUCAAGCUUCAAAGAUGCUUCUGUCUAUGUCGGCAGCAGAGGCCAUUUAUAUCUUUCCCACGGUAGAGAAGGAAUGAACAAGUUUUAAAGGGUUUUUCAUUUCUUCGAAGAUAUAUAUUGAAAGUUAUGAGGAAUUCUUUUUGGCCUAGAUGUAUAUUUGCUUAUGAAGUAAGUGAGUUUAUUCAUUUAUUUUUGGUAAAUAAGUAUAUUUUUCUUGCAUGGGUAUUGAUGCCUUGGUUGAGUAAAUAUCAAAUUAUAAAGCAAUCUAUUGAUAUUAGGUCAAAGAGAAACUUAAUUUGAAGGGAAAAGCAAAAGAAAAAAAAAAGAAAGGAAGAGAAAACAUGAAAGGAAAACUUCAAUUUAGCUCUCAAAAUUUUCAUUCUUCAAAAUUGAUUGGAAUUACCAAAAAGAAUAGGUAUUCCUCUGGUUGCUAAUAUAUAUAUGGAUUUGACUCUUUUCAUUUUUUUUUCUUUUUCGGAGACGACAACAGUUGUAUAACCUAAUAUAUUCUAAACUAAGGGGGAGAAUGCAGAGCUAAGGAGGCCCAGGAAUAACCCGGAUAGGACUGAACCACCACCGGACCAAACGGAUGUACAACACACCCACCUAAAUUUUUUGAAGCAAACCACUUUAAUGUGACAUUUUGGUGGGAGACAAGAGGCAAGCCACCCCACCAAGUUAGGUGGUGGCCACCAACCCAAAGGCUGGUGGUUUGGAUUUGACUCUUUUCAUGUUGUUCGCAAUUAUCAUCUUAGAUGAAUUACAAUGCCGAAAAUAAGAGAAAAGCAAUAUAUACCUAAUUUGACAAAUGAAAAAGCAAUAUAUUUUGAGUUUUUUUUUCCAAAAAAGAAAACUUGUUUGUUACCAAACCCUACCUAAUUCAAGUCCUCAAUAAAUACCACAUAUCUACAGAGCUAACGUGACCAUCAAUCAUUGAAACACACCAACAUAUGCAACUUCCUAUAUUUGACCAAAUAAAUAAAAUCCAUAUGGACAAGUGUAGCCUUCUCACUGGUCAAAAUGCACAAAAACCGAGGUAAAUGCAUAAUUAUUUAACAAUAUUGGAGAGUUGGUAACUGACACUUAAAGUUCUUUUAACAUUUUUCCAUUAGAUUAUACAGUACUAAAAUUAAAAUCUGCAAAAAAAAAAAAAAGGGUGGAAGUCUCUUCCAAUCAAAGCCUUGAAGGAAUCAAAGACAGCAGGAGCUUAAUGAUUAAGGUUAAUUAAUUAACCACUUUUUUUAAUGUAAUAUAAUUUAACUUAAGCGACAAAUGUGUCAGGCUUAAAUGAAUUUUUAUUUAAAAAUCCAUAAUUAAAAUUUGAUAGAUGAAUGUAUUUGAUGAAGAACUUGAAAUGCAUUAAUUUCUUACUGUCUGAAAAUGAAAAUGGAUGGAGGGAAUCUGAGGUUUCUUGGAAGGAAUAUUUCAAUUUGAGAUGUCUUUCAAAAAUGCCAAAGUGGAAAAGGCCUCAACCACAAGCUAUAGAAAAGCUAUAUAAGUUUUCUUUAUCAACUUAGAUAAUUACUGGCAAAGUGAACUUGUAGGUUUUCUACUAUCUAACCAAUUGUGUGGAAAGAUACUCCACAAGUCCAAUUUAUGUAUCCGAAUUUCGAGAUUUGUAAAUUAUUCAGGAGAAAAAAAAAUUAAGCUCUAAUCAAAUCCAUGAGAUUUGUAAAUGUUCAGACAACUUUACAAAAAAUUGAUUUUUUUUUUUUUAAAAUUUGAAAACUUUUUUGGUGGAUGAUUUAUCUUGCUGCACGAUUUAAUGUGAAAUGGUAAUCUCAUCAGAAUUGGAAGUUCUCGUAAUUGCUAAAUUAUGUUGCGAUUUGAUGAAAUGCUUUUGUAAUUAUUUCUUUAUGAUAAAAGAGUUUGUAAUUAAUUUCUUCAACUCAAUAUACAUAGUUAUGUUAAUAAAAGCAAAAAGGUAUGCAAAUAUUUGAUGUUCUAAAAUAAAAAUAAAAAACACUCAGUGUACAUAGUUUUCUACAUAUCUGACAUUCUAAAAUUAAAAAACUAAUUAAAGACUAAAGCCUUGCUUGGAUUGUCAUUUUUUUCUAAAAAAUCUUUACGUUUUUUCAUGAACACAUUUCGUUAUUAUUUUUUUAUCUUACACAUAUCAAACGGUUAUAGUACAUUUUUUACAAAAUAUUCAGAAAAUAAUAAUCCAAAUGGGAUCUAAAUCCUCUAAUGUAAAUAUUAGAAUCCAUUUCAUGUGAAAAAUUACAAGCCUUGAACCCAAAAAAAAAAAAAAAAAGACAACACAAAAACUUGGGACUCGAUUUAUAAUUCGAAAUUGUAAGUCCACAUAUUAAAAAAUCAAUUGUGGGCCAGUCUUGAUCUUGAACUGCUAGGGACAAACCUUACCCGAACCCAAUUACCGAUUACCCCCAGCUAUAUUAGGCUAUUACACAAAACCAAGCUACGAGUAGGCCCAUAUGGGCAAGCUACGUCUAUUUCUUCUUCUACAAAAGCCUUGCCAUGCAUUUGGAGCAAUUUCUUCUUCGGUUGAUUGAGACUCUAAUACACCAUGAUUAGCAAAUAAUGAACUUUCUUAUGAGGGAACAAAAAAUUAAUAAUAAUUGAGCGUAGGACAUGGCACGACUAGACAAUAACUACACCCCCUCUUUCUUCAUUAGCAAAAAGAAUACUACUUUUUCUUUGGAUAGCAGAGAAAUAUAUUCGUAACUCGAUCAUUUUCCUACGAGUACACCAAUUACUUCAUAAAACUCUGUAAUCCUAGUUGAUUUAACUUACGUUGCACAAGCUGCCUUGAAAAUUUGCUCUUGGUAGGGAUAAAAAUAAACUAGUGGACUUUAUGUUGUUACAACACUAAAAUUUUUAAAAAAAAAAAAAAAUUAUUACAACUUAAGCAACACAUGAUAUUGCACUUUACACUUUUACCACUCACCUCUAUCUAUCCAAAAACCGACUAAAAAAAAAAUCAUCCCAUUGUUUAAUCUCAAUAAUGUAGCACCUUGAAAUUUGAGCUAAGUUAUUUCUUCUUGUGGUCAAUGCAAUUUUCUAUUGUUUGUUUUGAGAGAAGUAAAGUGGAGACAUGGAUUGUGUAGCACUACAAAGGUAAAGGAUAAAAUAAGGGUUGAAAAGAAGCCUAUGAAUGGGAAGGAGUGUGGGGGGGGGGGGGGGGGAAUAUUCUUGGGCUCUAGACAAGUAGUUGACGAUACUUUCUGACAAUUAGGAAUUAACCGGCAAACUUCCCUGCCUUUACGGGUAGUAACAAUUUUUAAUUACCAAUACACCUCAAAAGUCACCCUAAAUUAUUAUUAUUCCCAAUGUGUGAAAUCCCACUACUAAGUUUUCCAUUUCUUUGACUUUAGUAAUUGUUAAUUGGUCUAUUUAGGCACCUACAUACUUGUAGAAUUUGUGUCAUUUAUCCUUCUUCUCCUAUCUAUCUUUUUCUUUUUUCCCUUGGCGGUUUUUUUUUUUUUUUUUUUUACAAAAAGUAUAUUAUCAAUCUCUUUCGUUCUAGUAAUUCUUAUCUGUCUUUUGGUGACUUAUAAUCCAAAAUUCCGCUGAAAAUGAGGUGGAUAAAGUUAAGUACUUGUAGUAUAACAAAUUAAUAAGAGAAAAAGAGAGACAAUCAAUAUAGGUGUAAUAAAUUUAAUAUAAGUGGCCACAGCUUAUUUAAAAAUUAUCCCACCUCAAUGAGUAUUUAUGAUGUCAUGUUUUCGGUUAAAGAAAUUAAAAUCAAUCUUAGAAGUAGUUAUUAAGAAAAUUAUGGGCCCUUCUCGCUUUAGUUGUGGUGCAUAAAUAAAAACAUCUUACAGGAUAUUGAAGUAGGCUGAUCCAUGAAAAAACAAAACACUUUUGGACUCAAUUUGUUUCUUCAAUCAUCCAAAGCACGUCAAUGGCCGAAACUUCCACUGCUUCACCAUUUCGUUCUCCCAAGCUCUCCGUAUAGAUUUGGCCCAAACGUUCCUUUUGGAUUCUGAAAGGAUGCUUUAACCUGACCUUGGCCCAUGUCCUCUCUCUCUCUCUCUCUCUCUCUCUAAAUAUAUAUCUGCCUAUUAUAUAAGAAAGAAGUGAACUUUAGUACUUUGUCUCCUUACUUGUCACGUGGCUUCUUAAUAACUUGAUAAGUGACUUGCUAAUAUUUCUUGCACAUUGCUAUUCUUGCUAUUGCACAUUUUUUUUUGGCCUUUCGUUCAUGCAAAAUCAAACAAGUCUGGCCUUAUAUUUAUGGGUGUUCAUCGAUCUAUAAUUAAAAAUUCGAUAAAAAAGUUUUGAUAAUUUUGGAAUUGAUUUUUUAAGUCCAAUAUCCGAUUACAGUCCAAAUCUUAGUUUGAUAAAUUGGAUUGGAAAAUCAGUAGUGAGUUAAAAUAUUUUAAUUUGCUCUAAAAAAAUUCUUAUGACAAAAUAAUAUCCUAUAUGUUUUUCAACAAAAUUAAUCGACUUACUCAAACAAAUAUGAAAUGCAAAAAAAAAGGUUCAUAACCCUAAGUUCUAACUCAUAAUCUCAAUUCUUAAACAAUAUUGAAAUAAAUAAGAAUUUCAAACUUAAUUGUUAAGCUAAACUCCAAUGUAUCAACUUCCAUUAAAAUUUUAUCUCCAAAUAUAGUUAUAGUUAGUUUAGCUAAUUACUAAUUAAUAUUUAGUGAUAGGAUUAAGAUUUAUUCUUGUAUUUAGUAAUAUACAUAAGUGGGCUUAUAUUCUACUUUUGUCUUCUAUUGAUUUUAUGCGAAAGAAUAAUUUCCACUUAAUUGUUCUUGAAAUUUUAAGUGGGCAUGGGCUGUGCUAACUGCUAAGCACAGCCUGAAGUCUGCUAGUGUAUAUACAUAUAUAGACACAUAUGUAUAUAUAAAGCUUAAUUGUUUCUAAUGGAGGUUACUUUUGCUGGGGAAAAGCAAGGGUCUGGUUAGACCAAUCAAGCUGAGGGGACCUUGAGCCUAAGGGAAUAGAUUGUAGGUGGGUACAAAUAGGCAAAUGUGAUGUGACAACCAUCAAAUAGUAUUAAUUUUUUCUUUUUCUUUUUUUUUAUAUGAAAAAUUUUGAGCGGAUUCGAUUUCAAUUACCACCAUGAGUUAAAAAAUGUUUUCAAAACUAUAAAUCGCUUAUAAGGUUCAAGAUUUUCAACAAUUUAGUGAACUCAAAUUUUAUGACUUGACGGUGCAAGUAAAAAGUAGUUAUAAAUCUGAUCUAAAUAUGAGCUUAAAUGUAGCAUUUUUCAUUUUAAAGACACAAAGUUAUGGUUUAAAUCAGCAAAACAAUUCAAUAUUUUAAUUACCUUAAAGAUGUUGAAAUCCGCAUUAUACAUUUAAUUUUCCUUAUAAAUUUUACAUAAACUGGUAAAUAAAAUUAAAAGAUUAUGGGAAUUGAUCAGCCUAAUUUAUUGGUGAGAUGAAGGAGUUGUUAUCUCCUAAAUAAUAGUAUGGACAGUGCCCAAAAAAAAAAAAGAUUGAAUACUCAAGUCGAUGAAAAUUUUGGUCUCUAAAUUUUGGAAAAACUGAGGCAUUCAUUUUUGAAACUUCAAGGUCUAACGUUCGUUUUCAUUUUUGAUUUCUUAAAUCUCUGUUAUAGGUUAAGCACCGGUUGACAUACUAAUGAUGCGACAAUUAUCUUGCUAUUCAAUAUUCAGUUUUAUAUUUAUCAAUUUAAUUUUAUAUUUUGAUAACAAGACAGAAGUUUAUCAAAAAUUGCUCGAAAUAGUCCAGCACAAAUUGUUUAGCAAGCUCAAGGAGGGAGUUUGAAACAGAUUCAAAUCAGUAAUUUAUUUUGGCAUCUUAUGCCAUCCAUGUGCAGUACAGAUUCUAAUCCAAAAUAUAAAUCUGUAAAAUGUUGGCUCCAUGUCAAACCGAUGAAAAUCCCCAUUCCAUCAAGAAAUGUAAUGUAGGCUUAAAUCUUUAUUAGAUACCACUGCCCUGAUAUGAAAAUCAGAAGGAUGAUAUGAACUGCACUAACUUGUUCAAAGAAUUGUAAGAAGAACCACCAUCCUUGAUGCAAUCCUUGAUCUGGUCCUUGAGAGCAAUCACUUUCUGCCUCAUUCUUGAGCCUUCUUCUUCAACUAGGAGUCUUCUUAUAGCUUUUGCAACAUUU
rnacentral:lncRNA from 1 species